rnacentral:lncRNA from 1 species
CCUCCGAUCGUGCACGCACCGACACCCUGGCUCUCCGCAGCGGCGCCUCCGCCGCGGCAUUCUCGCCGCGCUCAGGCGUCCCCGCCGUCCCAUCCUGCUUGUUCUGAUCCGCUUCGCCGCCGCUGCCACUGCCACCAUCGGAAUCACCCCUAUCGCCGUCAAACGACGCCGGGGCCCCAGCUCUUAUCGCCGGGGCCAUGCGGGGGUCCAUGAAUUGCACUCCCGCCGGCAUUGUCGCCGGUAGCAUCGAGUUCGCCGAGCCGCUGGCCUGUAUCGAUCCAUCAAAAUUGUAAUGAACGCGUUGCUGAUGAUGUGUGUUACUUGUCAUGAUCAUUGGCAGUACGUAGCAAUCAGAUUAAAGGAGAGAUAUAAUUAAGAUAGUAGAAAAAUGGAACAUAAGGAUGUACGACGGAAAUGCAUCGGGGUAAUGCAGACAUAAACACGCUAACAACCAUUAGUAAGUGUGGCUUUGUUCUCAAGCUUAAUUUGUUUUGGCACGGCCAAAGGUUCUUGCUAGGCCUGCUAGUGGGGCGGCGGCAAAUGGGGAUUUCGGGUCGGGUUCUUGCGUGGAGGUUCGUUUGCAUGGGUAGUAGCGGUAUUAGAGGUCAGCAGGUCGGGGCGGAGUGGGUCUGCUACAUUUGCGGGUUGGGGUGGGUUAGAACGGAUUUUGUUGACCUCGCGCAGCGGCUCACGAGGCACGGGGCACCUCGUGUCGACGCGUCCUUGCGCCCGCAAGAAGAAGGCGACACCACCGCCCGCCGCCGUCGCCACCACCCCUCCCGUGCGAGGUCCUCCUCUGAAGGCCACGGAUCGAGGUACUCCUUUUUCUCUCGGAACCACACCGGCAACAAUCAAGGUUGCGCCAACAGAUCCCGUUCCAGGAACCACACCGGCAUCAGGUCCCUUCGAGAAGUCAAGGUGUGCCUCCUUCCCUUUUCUCUCCAAUUCACUACGAUCUGUUUCUCUCCAACGGAAUGCAAAAUAUGUGUGUAUCUGCUCUAUUUCCAAUUCAAUACGAAUGGUCAAAUGCAAGUUAAUGAAGAAAAUUGGAUACUGUGCAUUCGACAAUCUUGCAAAAUAUGUGUGUAUCUGCUCAUCUGAUUUACACUUCUCAAAAGGUUUAGGUUGUUGUCACUGUUAGUGUUACUCUCAAUGAAAGAUUAUGGAUAUACAUUGUCAAAUAGUCAGCAGUUUACAGCAGAAGUAAAUCGGUGUGUUCUCUCUAAAUUAUUGGCUUGUAUAAAUAGGAUUAGUAUAGAAAUAGAAUAGCAUGACCUGACAUAAUUAUCCUUAUCUGUGUGCAGCCCAGGAGGGAGUUAGGGAACUUUGAGAAGCUCAAAUGGAUCCUAAAGGUACCCAACUAAUAUGAUAUUCUAUCAAUUGGGUGUUAUGAUCACUGAAAGUCUAAUGAACUAAUCAUGUAGCUAGGAUCAUCGCUGGUUAAUUUAUCAACUAAUCUGUAUAGUCUGAUGAACUAAUCAUGUAGCUAGGAUCAGCUUCUGCAGCUAAAAAAGUGCCUGUUAAGCCCCCGUUAGCAGGCCGAUAUGCCUGUGAAGUUUCUCAGUUGUGGUCAUGUCUAUUAUUUUUGGAUGUCGAUGGCAUUUGUUUUUGUUUCCGGAAAAGAUGUGCGCAGGACUACCAAUCUACAAGACUGUCACUUGGCAAUUGUUUUUGUUUUCGGAAAAGGAGGAUUUGGCUAUCUAAAGAAAUAUUUGUCUUGUCUUACACGAACUGCUACUAGGAUGCUGUCCGGAAAUACAUGUGUAGUGAUCCUGGCUAGUAGUUUCAGUUCACUGACAUGGUGUUUCAGUUCCAUCUCUGAAUCUUUUUGCAACAUUUCAGUCAUCUCUGAAUAUUUACUGCAGUGGUGCACUAACAUGCUGCACAUGUUAUACAUUUCCAGUAAUCCAAAAGAGUUGACAAUAUUUUCUGCAUCUUGCAUAUAUCUGUCUGCAUGUCAUUGUUGUUAGUUUUUCUAAAUAAUAUGCUGGAUUUUUCUGUGUUUUCCUUUGCAUCUGCAGCCACCUGACAUAAUUAUGUUUCUGUCAUUGUUUGUGUGCAUUCCAGGAGGAGGAGUUUGAAGAAGCUCAAAUAGCUCUUAAAGGUACACAAAUAAUGUCCUGUGUGGAGUUGCUUAGUUAGCAGUCUGCUAUUGUUUUCUGUUUCACAAAUAAUCCAAUAUGAAACUAUCAUACAACAUAUUGUGUUCCAUACUGAAUCUUUUCCUUUCAUUUUUUUAGAUCACUGAUUGAAGAAACUUUGCCUCUGUCUCUACAAAUGUUCCAACAGCAAAAUUGGGGAACUUGGAUUAUGAAUAUUUUUGUUUAUGUACACUAGACAUUGAGUUCAAUUUGGAUGUUUAUUUAUGAGUCUGCCCAUGUCGUACUGUCAUGUGUCUUCCAUGCAUGUUAUCAUCUUUGUGCUUGCGCUCUCUUGUGUUCAUAUGUUCGCAAUGUGAUAUUGCACUUGCACGAGUUGUAUGUAUCUCCUGCGUAUUCCGAGUCUUGAGAUGUGAAAAUCGCAGUUUCUUAACAGUGCUAGUGGAACGGUGCUAGUGCAGGUGCUGCAAGCAAAAGGGCACCAAGCAACUGCAACCUAUUGCACCCGUGCUCGGUGGGGCGGGGUGGGGUGGGUAGACUAGUUAAAUAUAUGGGGCGGGGUGGGUCAGCAGAAUUGCCUUAUUAGGUGUGGCCCCCAUUAGCAGGCCUAGUUCUUGCGCGAUGGACCAUCUACAUGCAUAGUAGCACUGUGCUACUGUAUACAUAGCACGUAAACAUGUAUAAGACACAAACACCUCUCUCAGACACAUAGAUUUGAUUAGCGACCUAAUCAGGUGUUGAAAUUUUGUUUAUGAGUUUUAAUGCUCAAUAGUUGAACUCAAGUAAGCUCAACUAAUAACACGGGUGUCACUAAUAGAGAACUGACCUUUCAUCUACCUGCUUUUGUCCCGGUUAAUAUUUGUCCGGGAUAAAAGUAGCUUUAGUCCCGGGUCAAAAAUGUGCCCCCGAAGGCUACCACGGGGGGGGGGGGGGGGUCACAACCGGGACUAAAGACUCCCCUUUUAUCCCGGUUAAAGGGUCCAACCCUUUUGUCCCGGUUGGUUGGAAUUACCAACCGCGACAAAAGGGGGGGCCUUUUGUCCUGGUUGGUAAUUCCAACCGAGAUAAAAGGGGGGUCUUUUGUCCCGGUUGGAAACUCCAACUGGGAUAAAGGGGGGCUUUUAUCCCGGUUGGAAACUCCAACCGGGAUAAAACGCCCUCCCAUGCGCCCCCUCCCCACAUUAACUUGUCUCUCUCCUUUAAUUUUUCCUUCUCUCUCUCUCCUCCUUAUCUUCUCCACCACAGAUGCCUCCCCCUCACGCACAGUUCUCCUCUCCCUCUCCUCCUACUCCUUUCCCUCCCCGCCCUCCCUUCCUCUCCCGGCCCCUCCCCUCCCUCCCUUCCUCUCCCGACCCUCCCCUUCUGUUGCUCCUUUCCUUCCCCCUCUGUUGAUCCUUCCCUUCCCCCUCUGCUCGCCCCUCACUGGCAGUGAGGAGCGGCAGCGGGGCGAGGGCAGGGCGCGGCGUAGAGGUGGGGCGGCCGCCGGUGGUAAGGAUGGCAACGGGGCAGCUUCGGAUCGGGUGGAGUGUCUGAGCACCCAAAACCGAAACCCGAACCUAAAACUUGAAUCCACACCGAACACCGAUUCGGGUAAAAAUCCAUCCCUGAAACCGAAACCCGCAGAUACCCGAAACCUGAGAAUACACAUUGCUUGCAAAACCUACAGAUCAAAUUCGCCCCCUCUCUUCCGUGGGGAGAUCUGGCGACGGCGAUGCCACUGGGGGAUGGUGCAGCGGGGAUGGGAGCGGGGGACUUCGUGCUGCCGGACGAGGUUCUGGCGACCUGUACGAGCAGCUAGGUGCGGCGUGUGGGAGUCACGACCUGGAGGAAAGCAUCGAGCAGCCGAGCAAGAAGAUGGCAGCCAGGGCCAUGGUGGAGCGCCGGGAGGCGAGAAGGAGGCCAAGCCUCGAGCAGCUCAUCAGGAUGGAGACAGCGCCACUACCGCUGUCGUCACGUCCAGGCCGCAGGAGCAAACUAGAUACGACAUCCGAGGUCUCCAUUCGCACCACCGCGAAGGAGAAGCACACGCAGGAGGCAGGCGUGGCUGGGUGUGACCUGCGGCGUGCCACGUGAAGGAGACCAGGAGUCGCGGCCUCACGGGACGGCGGGAUGAAGGGGGUGCCUGGGUGCGGGACGGACUGACGGAGGGCCUUAUGUACCUAGGUUUGCUAGGUGGGUUUUUAGUGGACUCAAUAUUUCAGGGCCCCGAUGGAGCUCCACUGGUGGAUUUAAAAAUCCACACCAAACCCGCAGUAUUUUGGGUAUCCGAACCUGAAAAACUGUGGGCGAAAACUAGAAACCAAAACCUGCGGACCCGAAACCCGCAGAUAUCUGCCCCAAACCCGAUCCGCUACCAUCCUUAGCCGGCGGGCAGUCGCACGAGCGGAGGUCAGGCGGCGGCCGGCGGCGGAGGUGGGCCGGUCUGGGAGGCGCGGGGAGGAGCCGCUGGCGGGGAGGAGGAGGCUGGGGAGGAGCGGCAUGGUGCGGCUGGCGGGGAGGAGGCCGGCGGGGUGGAGGGUGGAGGCGAGUGGCGUGGGGGAGGACGCAGCCGGCGGAGCUGGCGCGGGCGGUGCACGGGCGGCGGAGGCCGGUGGUGCGGGAGCCGAGGCAGGCCUCCACCCGUCGGUCCUUUUUUUUUGAAAAACUCUUUUGUCCUUAUUGGUAAAACCAACCGGGACUAAAGGGUGUCUUUGGUCCUGGUUGAGCGAUCCGGGAUUAAAGAUCCUUCCUUCUGUCUCGAUUGUUUUAUUCCGGAUGGAUUUCGGAAGAUUUGACCCCUACCAACCGGGAUUAAAGGCGAGUUUUCUACCAGUGUGUGUUCGGUGGUCACGCGCAGAAAUGAGGUGCCAUAUAUCGUCUGAACAAUGUGUGAAUGCAGCCUUCGACAAUAUAAACUAAAUAGCAGUAUAUAUAGUAGACGUAUAUAUGAUUUAGGUAAUGCUGGCAAUGUGUGAAUGCACAAUUUGAGAUACACCGGCACGGUCCCUACUGCAUAUUUCUGCAACUUCAUUCACUGGUUGUCCGCAUAAAAAGUUGGUUUGGUUGCAUAGAGCAAGAAGAACGUAACUGAAAUUUGAGUAAUCAGAUGGAUGUAAAGAAAAUGGGAAUCAGAUAGGUUGGGUGUCAAUUCAUACGGACGCACGGGUUUCUAGGAGCAGAUUAUGUGUGAAAUUAAUAAAGUACCAGUCCCGCUUUGCUGGCUGCUGCUUUCACGAGAUACUAGAUAUUCAGGAGAUCUUAAUAUUUUAUUUGGUAACAUGAAAGUACAACGUUGACUAGCUAGGUUCCAACUACGACGCAGGUAGCCAUUUCUUUUGGACUUUGAACACGAAUUAAGCCAAGAAAGUACAGGUCGCAAUUAAUCAAAGAGACAUUAUGAAUGGCAAAGCUGCUGAUGAGAUGGUAGCAACGAGAUGCAAGGGCUUGGUAAGUUCAGUUUAGUUUACCUGUUGGUGCUGCUGGGCUUGGAUGAGCUGAUGGUACAGCGCGCUGUGGCUGCGGGUGAGGUCGUCCAGCAUCCGCCGCAGCCGCCGGUUCUCCUCGCCGGCCUGCCGGAGCUCCCCCUCCACCGUCGCCACAGCCAUCUGCAGGCAUAUAUAUGUGUAAAGAGGAUCAACAUGUGUGUGUAGUACAACGAUAUAUAUAUAUAUAUAUAAUUCUGAUAUGAUGUGGAAGAACAUUAAGGGAGAAGCCUACCUGUUUAUUAUGAUCACUCGCUGCUCCGGCCGCCGCCCCCUCGCCGGCGUUGACCGGCGUCGCCGCCGCCGCCGUGGUCAGCAGGUCAAGAGCAGUCUGCAAGAACCCAAGGACACGCAAACCGGCACCAAAAAAAAAUCAAGCUCAUACAUGUAUCGAUCUAAUGGCCGUCUUAAUUACGCACGCAGACAUCAAUCUCAAGCUCAUCUGGAUCGGAGACUUACGUUGACCGUGGUAUUACCGCGUCCUAGUGCUCCUGCCUCUCGGCUUCUUCCAUCCCUACCGUUGCCGUCAUCGUCGUUCCGACGGUGAGCGCCGCCGGUGGAGAAGAAGUCGACCUCCUUGAUCUCGCUCCUGCGCCUGCCGCCGCCGGCGUGGCCGAAGGCCUGGUCUCCAUGCUCCGCCAAGAUCAUGGCCUCCUCCUUAUCUUCCUCCUCCUUGUGCUGCUCUUGCUUUGGCACCAAGUCCAUGGAUGGAUUGGAGGUAUCAAGCCGGAGAAUGGAGAGGACGAGAAGGCUAUAUACAAUUUUUGUGGCUUGUGGCCGUACUAGCUAGCUACAAGCUAGGGAAGAGAGAGAAAGAGACGAUGAGAUAGCGAAAGAGACGAUGAGAGAGAGAGAGAGAGAGAGAGAGAGAGAGAGAGAUGCCCAACUGUGCAAGCUACAAAAGAAGCACGUAACGUGAAACGGAAAGACUUGGACUUUGGACUUGCGAAUGGAGACGGGACGGCAGGAGGAGUUGGACCAAUGGGAGGGGGUUGGAACUGGUGGGCCAGCCCCGUGGCGUCAGCGUGAGAGGUGGCUGAGGCUGGAGGCCACGCAGUCCACGUGUCGCUGCGCGUGGGCCGUGUCAAUGGGGUCAACGGAUGCUGUGUUUUGCGACUCGGGGAGUGGCAGAGAGGAGGCCACGACCCAUGCAUCUCGAUCUGUCAACAUUUUCAACUUAUACUGGUUGGGUUUUUGUACAGCUUGUGUCCUUUUUAUACAUAUUGGCAAUUGAAAUUUAGGUCUCUUGACAACUCGAUCAUGGUGUGGAUUCAAUACAAGCUCCAUGGAGUGCGGUCUCUAAAAGCCGUUUGCUGAGGGCACAGAUCUUGGUUUGAUACGCUAAUCCUCAAAUAAAGCAUUUUCAAGAUUUUGGUGUCAAAGCUCAUAUAAGAGAAGGAUUUUUAGGGUUUUGUUCCAUCGUCACAAACUCAUCGCACAUAUUGGUUAAUUUGGAGAGCAGAAAUUAAACCAAAUAGUGAGUACUGAGUAGCUAGCUACCACUAGUAUUUCUCCCGUCCCACUUCGAGACCAAUUGAUUUUGUUGUAGGCUAGCAAUGCAGUUGGCUCUAUGUCCAUGUGCUCGUAAAGACAACCCAACGUCAUCAUUAUAUUGGUUUGUAAAAAGGCCACCUGUAUGUAGUUUCACAUUUAUACUUGCCAGACAAAAUAGAGGUGGACUUAUAUAGUGACACACAUAUUUUUCAGCCAUCACGACUAUCUAUCUAUCAUCUUAAUACAAUAGUGUUAAAAGAAGUCACCACGUUCGCCGAGAGGGUCUAGAAAUUUCCACGUUAAUCGAAAAAGAGAAGAAUAUGCAUCGUUGGAUUGAAAAUCUAACUGUCUUAGAUUAACUCAAAGAGUCCAUGUGGGAUACAAUUAAUUAGAGAUAUAUAUAUUAAAUUGCUAUAAUCGAAAACACAUGGAGAUACAAGUCUUUAUUGAUUUAAUUUUGGUUCUUCUCUAUUAGGAAAUAAACUUUCCAAAAAAAAAACCUCGCCACUUAUGCAAGGAAAGAAAGCAAAAGAAACACUUCUUAUGCGGUACAGUAGUCAUCUAACUCGCCGGUCGCCGCGAUCGUCCAAGGCGAUCAACUUCGGCGUCCUUCGCACAAGCCUACCCGAUCGAUGAUCACGCAAGGCCGUGUCCUUGAGGCUGCCGAGACGCACUACCUAUGCACGGUCGCCACUCUCUCCGUAUCGUGACAACCGCCUCCAAAGCACUCCCGUCGAUGCUGCUCCACCGGCUGUCUCCUACAACGAUGCUCCACUGACAACGAAAACUCCGUGGAAGGAUAUAUGCAAAUCUAAAAACGAGGGCUUCAAAAUAUUAGCGUUGGCAUGCUGUCCUUGGCGUUGUAUGUGAUACUAGCAAAUAAAAGCAAUGGAAGUGCUGUGGAGAUGGAUAAUUCUGGUAAAGAAAGCGGUAUUUAAGCACUAACAAGCUGGAAACAGCAGAGUAAGAGACUGCCCACUCGAGUAGAUGGCUACAUUGACAAGUUCUACUUCUCGAACUAAAACAAAUGGGCUUCUAUGGCAAGAAAUUUAGGGGACGAGGACGUCCCAACUGGAUGUGACUGGGCAAAUUUAUUCUGAGAAAGAUAUAAUAUGAGCAACAAUCGGAAAGAUACGUAAGAAACAAUUCAUCAUUGAUUAUCUAGAAAUAAGACAAUAUCUUAAGAAAAUAUUCAGGCACUCUAUAUAUCGUGAUGAGUUGAUAUAUAUGAUAGUCAUAGAAGUAAACUAUAAGUGAUCUAUUACUCCUUUUUCGAAAGGUCACCUAUUAUGUCAAUAUUGUUGUAGGUAGAAGCCACCACGUGUACUCUUAAGGGUUUGAAAUUUCCAAGUUAAUUUGAAAAAUAAAAGAACCUAAAAUGUUGGAUUUUAUGAUCAUCUAACUGCCUACGACAAAUAAAGUUGAUUAAACCAAAUUUUUAUGAAGAUCUUCAUAAAGGACCUUUGGUUUAAUCUAAUUUCUAAUUCCAUAUUUAAGUGAUAUAUUAAUGGAUUUGAUAUGGACCUUUGGUUUAAUCUAACUGCCUACUCCUAAGUUAUAUAUUAUGUCUUCAUAUUUCCAAGUUUAUGAAGAUCUAACGGUCUAGAUUAAUCUAAAGAGACCAUAUCGUAUAAGACAGAUAAAUAUUUAAAUUCAAAAUUAAAAAUAUUAUCUACGAAAUAUGAUAUGGGAUGGUUUUAAACCUACAUGGACUCAACCUGCUACAUUGAUAAGAUAUUGCAGGGAUGGGAAAAAAAUGUGUUUGGAAAUAAAUCAUAUCUCAAUUAGAGAAGAAUCGGAGUAAUAAAACAAAUUUCUAAAUAUUUUUUAUUUGUUUUUGCGUACGUAUCGCAUCCUUGCAUGAUUGAGGCAUUCCAAUCUAUUCUUUUUACUUCUACAUACCAAACACCUUUUCUUUUUUAGCAAACCAAAACAAAAAAUAAACUAGCCGCAAGCAAUUUUUCUUAUUUCUCUAUUUUCUCUUGCAUUGUCCUUCACUAUAAUCUAUUAUUAUCUCAAUACCCUAGCGUGAAGAGGCCAUCAUGUUCACCAAGAGGAUUAAGAAAUUAUUAUAUUAAUAAAAUAUAAUAUAUAGAUAAUUGGAUUUUAUGGUUGUAGUGCUUAGUAUUAGAGAAGAGAACCCAUGUACCAAACUCAUUCAAUUUUAAGGCAAAUAGGCCAUGUAGCUAUUGCGACGAUACCAUACCCAACUCCUUGUGGACUUUAGUCGGCAUCUUAGGGCUGCAAGAUAGAAGAGCGGAGGCAUAUACGUCGGACGACACCAGAGGCAUAGUGCAUAAAUUGAACAACGGAAGUGUGGAUGUCGAUAGCAACAACUUGCACCACGAACGUGUGCUAACUUCAUGCAACACUGAGGGCCAGAACCUCCUGAUGGACUUUAGUCGCUAGCUUAGGGCCGUGAGAUAGUACGUCAGGUGAAGCAAAAGCAUAGUGCAUAAAUUGAACACCAGAAGCAUGGAUGUUGGCAGCAACAACUUGCACCAUGGAUGCUUGCUUUUUUUUAAGCCUCUCAUCUAGGUACAACUAUAGUAUCUGUUCAUGGAUGCUUGCUAACUUCAUACAACAUACAAAGCUAGAAUAUGCAAAGCCACUUAUUUGCAAGUAACUAAAAACCAUGGUGCACAUGAAAUAUUAGAAGGAGAAAGAAACAAAUAAUGGAUCCUAGAGACAAAAUCACCGUGAAAGAGGGCCUGCACACAAUAGCGAUAGCGAGGAAUCCACAUGGACAUAUAUAAGGAUAUGUGAGAAUAAGAACCCUUGAGAAACAUGGUGGCCGCCCGAUAAUGAGGUCACCACACAUGACCUGACACAAUUCUCAUCACGACAACCAUAAUCACUAGAGGCAACUAGAGAGAGAGGUAGGAAGAUAGAGGGAGGGAGGGGGAGAGAGAGGGAGUGGGGGAGGGGGAGGGGGAGAGAGAAAGAGCUUAUAUUCAAUCAAUGUUGUUGGCUACUGCCGACCUCCAUAGCUACUGGCGAGUAGGGCUAGCAGUCAGAGCCAUACUAAUCGGUGUAAAUUCGCACCCGCCUAAUGGUCGUAUAUCCUCCAAAAUUCAACAAUCGUAGUUGUUGCUGAUGAUCAGAAUAGGGUGAUAGUGGGAGACAUAGAGAACACCAUGUGGAUGGAGUAGCUAUUGGAUCCCGUAGCAGAGCAAUAGAUCUGGUACAUGAUGGGGCAACUUGAGGGUAGGGGCAGCCACAAGGUGGACAUUCAAAAUGUGGGAGAGGGACGUGGAGGAUAAAGGGAGCGAGACAACCAAUGUAUGCAAGGGCUUAUGAGACAUCGUCAUGUACAAGAGGGUAGGAUGUUUGAAGAGUAUCUUGGCCCCCUUAAGUGGGUUUUGAUGAUUUAAUGAUGCAAGCUUAAGUGUCUAACAAAGCUUCAAGUGCAUAAGCAGGUUUAAAAGGAUUAUUGGUCAUGAAGCACUUGUGAUGGACCCCUCAAAAGGAAAUGAAAUUAUUAAAUGGCAUAUUCUCAAGUCUAAAUUUAUUUUCGGUUUGAAUUUGAGUAUAGGAAUGCCGCACUAUUAAGACGGAUGCAUGAUCUCUGGUCUUUACAUUUGAAAAGUGCUCAAAAUGACCUAACAAACCUAUUAGAGACACCCUUUGCACUUGCACAUCACAUGGGGAUAGUUAGUGGUGCUAACCUGAGAGUUCUGGAAUUUUUCAGAGGUUUUUCUGGAAUAUUUCGGAGAUUCAGAGUUUCUGGAGGUCCGGAUUUUUCCGGAAAGUUUUCUGAAAAAUUCCGAAGGUUCCGGAAGUUUUCGAAGAAAGUUUCGAAAAUUUCUGGAACUUAACCCCCAACGGCUAGUUUUGGGAUGAAGGGGUAUAAAUACCCCCUCACCCUCUCCCAUUCACUCUCCCUUGCCUCCUCACUGUCCUAAAAGCUCAGAAAGCAUUCACUCCCCUCUUGGCCUUAGGUGAAGAUUUGGUGGGGGAUUUAAGGAGGGAUUCUUGAGAGAGCAAGGGAGUGUGCUAGUGAGCUGAAACUCCAUCUCUUGAGCACCUUUGUUCUUCGUCAAGCUAGCAUUCCGCAUUUGUUACUCUUGGAGCUUCAAGCUCCUAGCCGGCUAGGCGUUGCCCAGUUGAGCAUCCAAGCUUUGUGGCUGCCUCGGGAAGUUUGUAUUGCCCCGACGAUUGAGUAAGUGACUCUACCUCGAUCUUUGUGGUCACUAGAGGGAGGAAAGUGGCUUAGGAGUGAAAAGCUCACCCUUCGUGGGUCCUCAAAGGAGACAUAGGCUUCAAGGUGUGAAGCUGAACUUCAGAAAAUAAAUUCUUGUGUCUCUUGUGCUUGUUGUUCUUAAUUUCGUUCAUAUUCAAGCAUAGAAUAUUUUUCUAGGGUUCGUACUCGAUCUACUUUUCUAGCAAGUUUGGAGCUGUGCUAUCUUGUGUCAAAGGCUUAGAAUAACUUGUUGAACAACCUAUAUUCGUUGAUCUACUUUUCAGUAAGUUUAUCUUGAGGUUGUAGUUGAUUUCUAUCAAAGUCUGGAAAUAUACGAAGAUUUCUUCAGAAAUUUCCGAAGGUUCAGAAAUUUCUGGAACAAUCUCUAGAAAUUUCUGGAAGUUGCUGAUAAGUUUGUUCAAAAGUGUAAAAAUUUUCAAGUUCGACUAUUCACCCCCUCUAGUCGACAUCCUAGAUCCUUUCAAUAUUGCAGUUGAUGGUGUCGUGGAGAUGAGAUGCCACAUAGAGGAGGUGUGCAACCACAUCCACGUGCAUGGACGACGAGAUGAGACACGUGGACAUAUAAAUAGAUAGAUACCUGAAUUUGGCAGCAAGAAGCAGCUUGAAAGUGUCAAAGUUGUGGCUUUCACCGAUUGCCUUAACACUACUAAAAAAGAUUUUGUCGUGCCAGUUGAAACAUCAUUUACAGGGGUGGGUGCACGGCCCACUUCUGCUUUUUGCAGCUAAAAAUAUCUGUUUGCAGCAACGGACCAUUGACCGUCCCUCCUAAAACCAUUUUUAGGACGGAUCACUCCAUGGAUCGGCCAUGCACAUGAUUCUUCAGGGACGGGCCAGAAGCUAUAUCAACCUCUCCUUUUUUAGGAGUGGGUGAACUUAUUUGCAUCCAUUUAUUUUGAAAUAAUACAUCCAAAUAUUGGAUCAAAUCUUACUACCCGCGUAAAUAAAUAUAUUUUAGCAAAAAUGUAUAAAUAUUUAUAUUACUUCAGUAAAUAUCAAAAAGAUUUUUAUAUCAUAUAGCCCUUUUCUCCUGAAAGACACGCAUUGAGAAUAUGAAAAUUAAAAAACAUAGAUGAUAGCUUAGUCAGCUACAAUGACACGAUUAACACAAAUAUUUAUAUCUCUUUAUUUUAAAAUAAAAUAUAAAAAAAUAGCAUAAAAAAUCUAGCUACCCACGCUAUUUGUGCGGGCCACCUUGCUAGUUAUACAUUAUCUAGCCGUAGCAAAUUUGUGGAGAAUUGAGAAAGAAACACAAGGAAGACCGAGAUAGCCGGCCAUUGGGGCUGGCUUGAUUAACUAGCUGGUCAAUGGCCACCAUCAGCUACUUGACAAUGUGCAUAAUCAAACAGGAUCGGACGGACCCUUUCAACGUAGACUUAACAUGCAAAAAUCCGCUAGAGUUGGCUUAUUCCUACAAGCCACCUAGAUGCUGUUUCCUUGGUCGAUUACCAUGUGAAUGCCUGAGAUUAGCGAAUAAACGGUAGCUUGUACAUUCUCCAUCCACGCACGUUGACAAUGUAGCCGUCGACGUACUUGUCUGCUAGCUAAUCUUAUGGUUAUUUAAAUUUCUAUCCCUGGGGAGUAUGUAUGAACCAAACCCUAUAAUGCUUAUUAUGUUACAUGCAAAAUAUCUGAGUUUUUAGGCAAACUGGUUGACCCCAACUUUUCUCCCAAGUUCCGGCGCCAUUAUUCUAAAAGAGCAAAACCUAGCCUCCCCGUGGCCCCCACCACCCCAACAAUACCUCAUGUCCAAUUUCCUUGGGUUCAGUUGUAUGGAAACCGAUUUUUUGCAAUUGGUUGUACCCCCUUUUCUAGGCUGUGCCAAGCUGUCAGGGAAACUAACUCAAUUUACCUACUAUAUUGAACCAUGAAAACUUCCAAGGAAAAGGUUAUAUAUCCUAGAGGCUGACUGGCAAAGAUAUUCCCUGAAUAAUAACCUAGUUUCCUUGACGUGGCUGCCCGGAAAAGCCGUCAAGAAAAUUUCCGUUAGUGACCAGCACCAAGAAAACUAAAUUUCAUUGCCCCUCUAUCGAUCCGUGAGGGUAUUUGCUUGCUUGGCUUCCAUGUGAAAACUUUCUUUGGCAGUUUUGCUAACAUACGUGGCAGGUUUUUACCCUCACCAAAAAAAAAUAUUUAUGUUUCCUGGUAGUGCCUAAACGGAGAGGCAGCAUGUAAUUGGCAACACAAUGCAACUUGAACUUUUCUAGAUCAACCACCCGUGUAUUAUUCUACCUUACGAGAGGAAUUUCGUGUGGUAGCUACUCCAGAGAAAGAAAAUAACUCCUUCUCAUCUGUUUCGUGAGGGGAGUGUUGGUUUCGAGCAACCUCUCCACCGAACAAUUAAAUGAAAAAAAGAUACACCAAUUAACAACGACACUGCAAAGCAAAGGUGUAAUAUGUAGGAGGUGCCACCCAAUUUAUAUGUAGGAGGUUUCAUUUCGUAUCCCCAAAAUGCACGUGUUUACCUACUAUAUAUUCUUGGAAUAUACCUUAGAAAAAGGUAAAAAAUGUGUACAAAUUCGACUUGUAUUCCUCUAUAGGGACACGUCUUUCACGCCACUCCCUGGUGACCUUCAGCGCCGCCGACAACUUCAUCAUCUCCAGCACCUCAACCAUGGCGUUAGGUUAUUCCCUUACAAAGGUGGUGUGGGCAUCUGCCUGGGUCAGCUAUUCGCCCAUUACCUGUAACGCCUUGCACACAGAAGAAGGAACAAAACACACAUAGUCGUAUGUACGAAGGUAAUUGGGAUGCGCCUACGAAGGUUAACUACAAUGGCAAUGGUUGCCUAAGAAGGUAAUUGACCUGCGCCGAUCCAAUCCAAUGAGCGAUUGUGCGGUCUUAUUAGUUGUCUCCCUGUUGCGCGAAAAUGAAAACCAUGGAAAAAGGCGCUCGACUGCAACCUUAUGGUUAAGAAUUUGCAAGUAGUAGCUAAUAAGAAUGCAAACAUGGGUAUACAUGAGCGUGAUCAAACUUACCUUUGCAGUAUAUAUACUAUAAAAGUUGACAUAAAGUGUACCACCAUGGUCACUAAUUUCCAAACUUUCAUGUCACGUGAUGCACGAUUGUAAUGCAUCCAAUGAAACUAUAAGUUGACAAGUGGUGGCAAAUUAUCUGCAGAUCCUGGUCGCAACAAAAUAUUGAGAAACACAGAUUCAUAUAUUAUAUAUCCACAUGAACAAGACUUUUUCGGCAAACCACUCUAGCCAGCAUUUCCUGCUAUAUCUAGUGUAAAAAGGGGCUCGAAUUAGGCAAAGGUGGUAAAGAAAUUCAAGUACGGAGAGAUCUGAUCUGCGCAGAAUUGUCGUCCUCCAAGAUCAAGCCCUAACUAGCCUCUAACAAGUCCAAGCUAAGCGGCGAAUGAAGUCAAGAGUGCAAGCAAGACGUCUUCUGCCUCAUGCAGCAUGUGCUUUAUUAUAUGCAGGCUACAGUUGUUUAUAGUUUCAAAAGGAAUGCCUGCCGGAGAUGUAGUAUGGUCAUCGAUCCAGAACCAGAACCAUACAAGGGCAUGAGACACGGGAAGGAUCAACCGAGGUCGUCGCGAGGUCGCAAACGACGACGGAAUUGGGGUCAAUAACAAGAAGCUAAGUAACCACACAUGCUGCCAGGGAAAGAGAAAGGCAUAAAGGAGGGGAGGGCCCUAAAGGUGAAAGCAACAGGAGGCCUGGCCGGGAGAAAAAGGUGAUGGACAUGUGCAUGAGCACGACGUGUUGACAUGCACGUACGUGGAGAGAGAAAGCUUUAGAACUGAAAGGGAUCAACAAGCCAAGAACGAAGCUGCAAGAGGAGAGACCAAAACGUCCACCAAAGGUAGGUAGAGCUUCAGCCGGUAAAAGAUAGCGGCGCCCUGGCUUGCACUCCGGAGCCUGGACUUGGGCUGGUACUCGCAAUCAAGUUGCAACUGGUAGAUGUGGAUGCAAGAGGGUAAUAUCUCGAUCCGGUGAAAAAGCCAAAGGGAGAGAGACUUGUGUGGACCUAAGCUCUAGCGGUGGCGAUUGAGACUUUUGAGAAGGAAAUUAAGCUUUGGCUUAACUCUUAAGCGAGAGGGACCCAUAACUCACUAUUUCAACGACUUAAACGUUGCCGGCCAAAUUAAAGGACAUCGAGGUGGUGCAUUGGAAGGAUCAGCUAGUUAGUUAUAGAGAGCUAGGUGGUAUGUAUCUUUUGAUUUCAUCCAAGUUACUAGUUGGGAGAGCGACUAGCCGCGGUCGGACGUGGAAGUCUGGCGUAGGAUGGAUCCGCGCUGGGUACGUAGUACAUAUAUUUGAUUGUGAUCUCCAAAUCAAGUGCAUUCAACUCAAAAUUUUAAGCUGAUGUACUUUCCCUGAGGCUUCAAACGUGGAAAUAGAAGUUAGCUACAAUUAUUUUAUUUAAUCGUUCCCUUUUAGAUUCGAACUUUGGAGUACGGCUGUUGAAGCAGGACUGGGUGGGAGCAUCAGGGCCGAUGAAGAGGUAAGUGUGGCAGUGGGAAGCGACGGUGAUUACUCACCUAUAAUUGUGAUAACUUCCCAAUAAUUGUGUUUUGUAGAAAAAAAAUACUCACCUCUUCUUUUAUCUAAAUAUUUUAAAUUAACCCCUAAGUCUACAUCUAAAUUACUCGCCUAUGUUCUUAUAAAAAUAGUAUGAAGUAAUAAUUAAGCACCAAAUUUGCAUGUAAAUAACUCACUUCCACCAUUAUUAAAAAUAACCUAAAGUAAUUCCCUAUAUUUGCAUCCAAAUUACUUUCCUAUGUCAUUAUCAAAAAACAUCCCAAAGUACUCGUAUAUAUGCUUUUAAAAUUAUCCCCUUUUGAUAAUGUUAAUAAGGAGAAAACUACCCCAAUGUGUAGAUGUAUGAUACACGUCACCAUGUAGGCCACAUGCCCGCGUACGUUAACUAUCAACAACAUAACUCAAAUAAUCAAAAUUUCAACUAAACAAAACAAACACUAAUAUAUAGAGAGGCGUUAUGCAAAGGGGGCAGUAACUAUGAAUGGGGUGGGAAAGCAUACAGAGUAAUUGUAACUAAAGUCUGUCACAGAUGGAUAGAGAUUACAUAGCAUACUUCUCUUGCGUAUGCUUACAUGUGUCUAAUCCAUAUUAUUGGCUCUAAAUUCUUAUUUAUUAGGACCCUUCUAUAAUUCCUACCUCAAACAACUUAGCUUUUGAUCUAGAUUCUAUAAUCCAAAUUGCUCAGACUCCACAACACACUCUUUCUGUCUUUCAUCGUUUCUUGUCAUGGCACAUGUCCCAGCAUCCCACCCCAUCGAGUCAACAUGCAAUGAGUCAAGUGAGGGAAAGAUGCCAUGAGCUUUCGGACCUUGGCUUACUUAUUUUGAGAAUUGCUAGCUAAAAGAAACAUAGCUUAAUAAAAAAUAAUACCAUCUAGCUAGGACUCUUGUACAUUUCGACGCAUACGUAGAUGGUGUGCAAUUAGUACUUCAGCGGAAAGGAUAAGCUGACGAAAGAACCGUAUACGAUACGGUUCACCUAAUUUUCUCCCUAUGAAAACUUGUUGUCUUGUUAAUAACAAAGUCUACUCCAUAUUUUGGCCGUAUACUAACUGGCAAUGCCGACUAGGUGGUGGCGCUGGAGAACAAUAAUAUUCUUCCGACGAAGAUUGACAGAGAACCUCCUGGCCGAGGCCGACCUUGACAUGUAUGAUGACCGCGCCGCGUACCAGGUCACGCGCGCCCAGAGAUGAUCAGGUCGUCGACGACGAUCGUCCGUCCAACCGUAUACAUCCAGAACCGGCGGAUAUUUCCGGUGGUCCAUCCAGUCCGGUGCGGUCACCGCCGUCGCCGUCGCCGGCUACUGGCGGCACGCAAAUGGACCGCGGGAUUAUCGGAAUCAGUUGAUCGGUCUCCAAGCUGGGAACGCGACGCCGUCGUGACUGACUGCUCGCGACGGGGGCUGAAAAACAUGGUGCUUGUUCCGGCACGGCGAUAGGUCAGGGCUCAGGAUUGGAACUUGGAAGAGGCGUCGUCAGCUAUUUCUUUCUAUUAGCUAGGACGACGAGAUAGAACGAGCGAAUUAGCUACGAGUACUGCUAGCUUAGCUACAGCUCAGGAUUGAAGCUUCCCAAUCGCCCACAUGGGUCGCGGUCGCUGUCGACCGGUGCUGCAGGCAAGUAUGCCGGCGUCCACGGCGUGAUCAUGCAUCCUCGUCUUCUCCAUCUCCUACGGUCCUAGCUACCCUCGAGCCUCCGGCUACAGUCGAGUUGUCAGAGUUUGUGGCUUGAUGUGGGCCAAUAACUCACUUCUUCUGCAAUAUAAUGCUGCCUCCAACUUUGACGAUCUUCCGCCGCCCCUGCAUUCUCGCGAUCCAUGAUCCCCGUGAACCACCGGCGGACGACGUACGGCAUCUCCGCUGCCGUCGGCCGUCUUCCUCGAUCUCUAACCCCAUCGUGGCUCCGCUAAUCCAAGCCUCUCUCAGGAUUGCCAACUGAUCGACUCUAGUGUCUGUAUCUCGUCACCGGUCACCGUACAUCCACGCACCAAUGAUCUAACAUGUGCAUUUCUUUUCUUUUUCUUUUCAGAUCUGCUACUGUAUGUAAGCCAGAAAGAACCCCAAGCGCUGCUGUAAGUCCUGACUUUUGCUCUCCACUUGCCACGGCCCACGGCCCAUCCGUUUCAUCGGCAAUUCUUUUCUUUUGAGAGAAAAAAAACUUUCAUCGGAAAUCGGAGCAAGAUUCGAGACACGCGAAAGGAAGCUCAUUACAGUUCCUGGCAACGCAAUGCAAACAACCGUGGGCGCAGACACAACUGAAUCGCAUGAAGUUGAAGAAGACACACUUACACGAGCAAGCAACGAAAAGCACACAAGAUACUGCACGGCCGCCUCAACAGCCAGAACUCAGAGACGAUCCUUGCAGUGCUGCUUGAGGCUGAUAUCCCCGCACACCUGCUCGAACGCCUCCGGGACGAAGAAGACGGACCUGCUCACGAUAGAUUCCUUCACGAACCCGCAGACGCACCUCUCCCCGGACGCCACGCUGCCCCUGACGGUCCCGCAGCAAUCUCUAGGGAACAGCUCGCGCAGGUCGUCGCCGCCCCGUGCAUCGGAGCUAGGAGAUCCCCGAUGCAGAAGCUCAGCUCCGCCAGCGUAGGAUCGCGGGACGGGUCGCAGCCGCCGCCGGAUCAGCUGGGACGACGGCCAGCAGCAGCGCCGGGAGGGAGAGGACGACGGCUACCGCCGGAUCCGACAAGGCCAGAAGCUGCCGCCAUGAGUGCCAGCCGGCCGAUCUCGCUUGAUCUCGCUGCUGGACUGGGGGCGAGUGUGGGUGAUCCAGCCGGUCGCUAGCCUCGUGCCCAUUGAAUUUAUAGACACAUACGGAUCUGUCCUGCACUGUAUGUAGUACAUACCUACAGCCUGUUGAUAAUAUUUUUGCGCUUGUUCAAUUCGAUGCGCGCCUUCCAUUGAUCGAAUCGGAUUCGGAUCCUCCAGCAUCCCAUCUCAUGUGCUGUGCCUGCCUGGCGUGCGCUGAACAAAGGAACAGGAACAGUGGCUUGCAUGUUGCAUAUUAGUAAGAGCGCCAGGCCGGAUUGCGCUGACCAAAAGCCAUCAUCGCCUCCGAUAAUUAUUUGUCAGUUCAGGUGUUUUAAACUGGACGGGUGUGAUCCGGAUAAUCUUCAGUAAUCCAGUAGAAUCAACUGAACCAUCUCCUCUUUGAAACGAACCAGGAAGAAGAACUACCAAUUAUAUUAAAAACAAGAUGAAACCCUAGACAAAACAACAAAUGGAAAAAAACAACGCAAACACCGGUAGGUUGGAUUUGGGCAUCAACACAUGCCGGACCACGCCAUCACACUUAACUCAACUCAACGACACAUCGGUCGGCAGGAUUGGGACAUCAACACAUGCCGAGCAUAACUCCUGCCGCUGUGCGGCCUCCUAACGCUCCACCCCGUCGGAUUAGGAUAUCGACACAAGCCUCAGCUAAACUCCACCCGAUCGGAUUGGGUCAUCGACAUGAGCCUCAGCUAAACUCCGCCCGGUCGGAUUGGAUCAUCGACAUGAACCUCAGCUAAACUCCACCCGGUCGGAUUGGGUCAUCGACACGAGCCUCCAUAAUCUCUACCUGGUCAGAUUAGGACGUCGACACCAGCCACCACAUAACCAAGAUCAUCGACUGGAUCCUCCUCUUUUUGAUCUUUUUUCUUUUUCUUUUGAAGAAAGCAGAAAGAGAGGAAAAGAAAGAAAAAGCCCCCUCGGUAACCUUACCGUCGAAGCAAACCUUUCUACUAGAAUUGCCUGACAUCGCGGUCACGACGCUGUAGACGUCGUCAAUACUAGCCCAAGCUCGGUUGGGUUUUCACCCACCUCAUCCGGCAGGAAAGGCCGGCGUCCAUGCCGACCUCACCAAACAGGAGCCAAGGUCCGCACGAGAGAUGCCCGACGUCGCUUUCAGGAAGGAUACGAUGCCAAUGGAGCCAUCGACGCCGUCCCAAGGAGGGUUAGGUUUUCACCCGCAUCGUCACAACAGUGCAAGAGACCGGCGCCUCUAGACCCACCACCAUGGUGAGCGCCUCUGCACGGCCGCAGCCAAUGAUACCACCAUGAUGGCGCUAGCAUGCGUCCGAGCAAGCCGUAGUCGGCCACACCACCCUGGUGUCGCCGACACACCACCACACCGGCCAAGCAGAUCGGAUCCGGGGCGGUCUGGUCGUUGGUGAUGGUGACCAAAGUGAGCAUCCCCACUGCCACCGGACAUAGCCGCUACCAUCUCCUGAUAGAGUUUUGACGAUUAGAUAAUGGAGGCUGAUGAUUAACGUAGAGUUGUUGUUGUGAUGUGGUACACAACCUCCAGGAAACAUCUCCACAAUUCUUUAGCAAAUACUGUAUGUUCAUAACCAUCAUUCGUAUCACAAGAGAAUUUUAACAAAAGUCUGCUCUGUAUCUUGUCCGUAUACCAACCGGCGAUGGCAACUGGGCUGAAGAGAACAAAUUUUCUUACGGUGAAGAUUUGACAAGCAGGAACUGGCCGACCUUGACAUGUUUGGUUUCGCCCCGUAUCAUGCAUGCGUGCAUGCAUUUUCUUACGCGAGACAGAGGCUCGAGAGCAUAGCUCUGCUCCAGCAGCUUCGUGUUUUUCAAUUUCUCAUCGGAGUCCCAUCACCUACCGACCCAUGCACGUUUUGCAGCUGCAGAGGUCUCCAUUUACCUUUCAUUAUUUCCAAUAAUUAUUGGAACAACUCAAUAAUUCACCCUAACUCUGAUUAUUGGGAGACUACAAAGUGAUAUUAGGAUAUCGGAAAACAUUUAUUGCGAGACUGAUGCUCUAACUGGGCCACCUAUUUCACCGCCGGGCUAAGUACGAAGCUGCAUUCGCGAAGGCCCAGACCACAAAAUCCAACAGCCCACGCAUAAACCGCAAGUUCCAUCCACUAUUCUGCGACGGCCCAUCCAACUCGGCCUCACACAACACAACCCACCCAUGAGCUCUCCACCUGCUCUCGUCUCUUCGCCGGCGGUGAGGCAGCUGCCGCCGUGGCGCCCUCUCCGCCGCCGUCUCGUCCCCAGACUUGCGUGCGCUUCCAGGACCUCCUGCGAGCUAGCACGUGGCGCCAGCGUGCGCUACCGCCAGCAGCCGGAGCCGCGCCUCGUGGCGGCGCAGUCGCAUCAUCCUCCCGCGCUUGCCGCCGUUGGCUCCGUCCGGAGGGACGCGGAGACGGGGCUCGCCCUACUCCUCCUCGUUCUCGCUGCGGUAUGACGCCUCUCCUUGUACCUGUAGCCUUUGGAUUUUGUUUUCGUUUUUUCGGUGCUGGGGAGUGGGGAGCGGUUGGUCCAGCAGUAAGCAGGCUGUUUGGUGCGAGCUCUUGGUUGGUUGAUAAAGAAACGAUUCUGUUUGUGAUACGUAGAUGUUAGGAAUAAAUUAUAUCAGUAAAUUUCAAGAUUGGCAAUAUCAAAGAGCAGGACAGGGUAAACGGCUACCGAUUUGUAACUGCUACGUGCACCUCAAGAGUCAAACUGUAUCUUUUGCCAGGAUAGAAAGAUAAGCGUGCAAGUUUACAGGAAUCAGUUCACUUCUUGCGGUAUGAACGGGGAAAAAUUCACGCCCCGGAAAUGGGCAACAAAUUUUAGGUUGGAGCUACAAAUUUUAAUCUCACUGUUGUUAUGAAUGGACGGUUCAAUUUUUGGGUGGUUUGUUCUAGUCACAAAUAGUCAUUAGUAACUGUAAAAGAAAGAGAAAUCAUCAUUUAAGUGAUUAGAGGAUAGCAAAAUGCAUGAUAGUGCUUGGUUAAAAUCAACUGUAGCUGCCGCAGCUGCCUGGACAGAACUUGAACCCAAUUUGAGUUGGGCAUUGUAAUUUCAUAUAAAUUCUGCAUUCAUCAUUAUCUACAAUAAAAUUUCAUCCUAAUCCUUGUGCAACCUGGAAUUUAGUCUACUCUGCUGACCCUAAUUUCAGGUGAUGAGCUGCUUUCUGUCACUGACUAUCUUAUCGUUUUCAGCAUGCAGAGUGAGUGAAUUAUCUAAAUAAUUAUAACUAUUUUUAUAAACAACGAGUAUGUGAAACAGAUUGCUUUUUCUUUUUUGAAUCAGGCUCUGCAUAAGUUGGAAACGGCAGCAAAUAAAUUGGCAAAGCUAGUUGCAGAAGAGGCACCUGGAACUCUAUCUUUACUAAAGCUGUCCUUCUUGGAGGUCAAUGAUUUAACUAGCCAGCUAAAGAACCUUAGGUAAUACAUUUGAUAAGCUCUCCAAAGUUUAGCUGCGGAAUGGUGUUUAUAUUGUUUCUCCUUUUGCUUCUAUGCAGGAAGAGUCUCACAAUAAGUAGAUUUGGGAAGCAGGCUAGUACUAAAGCAAGUUCUCGGACUUGAUGGCCUAAACAGGGAAAUACAUGAAUUAAUCUGCAAGUGAAAUGUCAGUCCCAAAUCCUGAGUUUAUUCUUCCUCCUUAAAUUCUUGAUGAAAUUAUACAUGCUUUCUCGCUGUAGUCCUGCACAUUUGCAUGAACAUGAAACAUCAUAAGCCUAUUGCAGUACCAAGUAGCUUCUGUUUAGGAAUUAUGCUGUGACGCAAGUAACAAAUUGUGCCCUGAGCCCAAAACUUUCCGCAAAGGAUUGACUUUGUUGACUAGGAGAUGUUUUGUUCCAUGUUUGUAAGAUGUGCGUAAUAUGUAAUAAACAUGCCUUUACAACUUUGAUGACAAUUUCUUGAGGCCUUCUUCAAAGCUCUUCAUCUUUGGUGGGGUCGAUAGGUUGGCUAAUAAGGUAACCCUUGCUGUUGAGACCAGAUCUUUGCACUCUGAUGUGGAAGGAUCUAUCCUCCAUAUCUGGACCUCCCAAACCUUCAAGAAUGCAGAAAAUUUUAGAUUGAACGUUUGAGCUUUACUAAGCCAGAAGUUGCACAAUAAUAGAUACCCAUACUCGAAAAGGGGGAAAAAAGAUAGUUGUACAACACUGGCAAGCUAUGUACAUAUUGGUUGUUGGUAGUGCCGCACACAUGACACAUGGCAGAGAUAGCUAAAACCUAGGCAUGGUCCCACAAAAACGACGACUGACAUACAUGUCGUUUCUGGUUAUUAUGUUUUUUCGGUAACAAUUUCUGCUAAUUAUUUUUUAAACAAUCUCUGCUAAUUAUCUUUGGUGGACAGUGCAAUUGAAGGGAUGGGAUUCUAGUUGUAGGAGCCCCAUACGGCACCUUCCCCCCUUGGACGAUGCUGCAAGUCAGAGGAGAUGGCGGCUAUGCAGAAAAGGCCCAACUUGUGCAGCCGGGGCGAACAUUUCCAACACUCCAGUCCAGAGUCCAUGCAGACCAAGCGGGUCGUGGUCGUGCUGCUGUAUAUUGUUUGCAAAAAACUGACAUGGAAAAGCCUGGUCUCCGUUUCAACUUUUGCCGCUAUAGUGGCCAAGCAAAUGUGAAAAUCUGGUAACUGAAACUACAGCUCCGCUUCUCAAACGAUUUGAUUUGUCGCUAAAGUACGGCCUAUUGAUCUUCCCAGAAGGAUGUGUGUAAAUUGCUGCGGAGCAGACAAUUUUACAGAAGUUUUCAAAAAGGAGCAGUCGAAUUCUUGACAUGAAUCUCUAUGAUCUUCUGAAAAAAAUUGAACACGAGAUGGACUGAGCGGGUACCUGGAUUUUGCGGCCGAGCUGGAUGGGGGUGGCCGUGGCCUGGACGAGGUCGCCGAGCCCCGCGGGCCCGACGUGGUUGAUGGAGAGCUGCACGCCGGCGAGUCUCCGGUAGCCCGAGGCGACGUAGCAGCCGAUGCUCGCCGUGACCUCCGCCAUGAGCGCCGACACGCCGCCGUUGAGCCAGUCGAAGGGCUGCGGGCGGGCGCGCACCGCACCCGGUCGGUCGGCUCACCUCAUCAGUAAUCACGAUCGGGGGAAAAAAAAUCUAUCCAAGCGGCGGCGGCGGGCGGGCGUACCUGGCAGCAGGUCUCGGUGACGGGGAGGCGGCCGGCGACCUCCCGCGCGGUGACGCGGGUGAACUCGAAGCCCAGCGCCUGCAGCGCCCGGUCCACCUGGAACGGCUUGGUGGCGUCGCCCGCUGCCGGCGGCGGAGGAGGAUCGCUCGCGCCGGCGCCGCCGCCCAUCACUCUCGGGUAUCGGCUUCAGGCCGGCCCUUUCUUUGGUCCGAGUGUGUGAAGGAAUAAUGAUUCUGGCGAGGCGGCAGCCGGCGGCAGAGGCGGGCGGGCAGGAGACGUUGGGUUGGGUCUUAGGGUCUUAGGGUUGGGAGGUUGGAGAAUUUUUUAUAUUUUUUAUUUUAGUAUUUUGCAAAAAUAUAUGACUAAAAAAAUUACAAAUAUCUAUACCUAUACCGUCGUUUGAAAUGACGGAAGGCGUACGGUAGCAAGCUACCGCCAGUUGAAUCGGCGGUAACUUUCCUCCUCUACGCAGUCAUAACUAAUUCAUAUGAACUUGGAUGGAGAUAAAUUUUAUAUGAAAAUUGUAGAUCUCGACUUUGUAGUUCAAACUGUUUUCAUUUGAUGUCAUCUUGGUGCUCAAAUAAUCGACACAAAUUUUAGAUCUAAAAUUUAAUUUUAGAUUGAAAAUUAUGUCGAUUAUUUGAGCACAAAGAUGGUACCAAAUAAAAAGUACACAGACGACACAGUACAUGGUCUUGUUUUAAAUUUUGCUAUUCAUGUGUCGAUAAAUUUUCUUCAUCAAAUUUUUUUAUGUUGCAAAUGUUAUCACUUGAUGUUGCAAACAUUAUUCUUCGAUGUUUCAAAAUAUUUCAUUAUUUUAGGGGAGGAAAUGUGGCAGGUUCUUGUGAUGUUACCGGUGCUAUUUACGAUGUUUCAAUGUAUUAUUCUCGCACGUUGAAUAGUACUUCAUGUUUCAAUCAUAUGCAAAAUGGAUAAUAAUAUCUGCAAUAUCAAUGAACAACAUGUGCAAUAUCAUAAAAUUUGACAAAAUUUACCCUAAAAAUCCGUCGGCAGAUAAAUAGACAUUUUUUUUUGCGAGGGCACGGUAGUACAUGGUCCUUUUUGCUUAGCAACAGCACAGAACCCACUGCACGGUGCAAGGUUACAGCCGAAACGCAACACCUUCAAUAACCGUAGACUUCCCAUAGAAAGGGCGGAGCCUGCUGGCGGUGAGAGUAAUUCACAUGAUGCUUCUCUAGAGCUUGGCGUAUUUCUUGAUGCUCGCUUCAUGGCUGGUCAUCUCCUCUGGCCUUGAUGGGUUGGCUGUUAGCAGGGUAACUCUUGCUGUCGACACCAGGUCCUUGCACUCUCCUGUGGAAGGAUCUGUCCGCCAUAUCUGGACCUCCCAGACCUGCCACGACGACGGGACAUUUCAGCUGUCAGCGGUUAGUUGCAUGCGCCUGACGCUCGCAGAUAAUUACAAUUAGCACGCCAAACUAAGGAUCAGUACACUUCUGUUCGCUUCAGCUUAUAAGCCGGUUGAAAAGUUGAAACGACUGAUUUGUUAUGAGAGAAAAAUACUGCUUGGUGGUUGAUAGGCCGGCUGAAUCGGCUGAAUAAGCUGGAGCGAACAGACCGUACGUAUAUAAUUAACUGGUUCGUGUCAACGCAUUACGCAAGGGUUCUUUCCGAUUGGGAAUUCAUUCCAAAAGGAUUGCUUCAACUCAAAUCAUAUACACGAGGAAACUGAACGCUAGCUAGCUAGAGACAGUUCGGGAGAGAUCGUAUGAAGAACAGGGGAGGGGGACAACGGACCGACCUGGAUGCUGCGGCCGAGCCGGACGGGGGUGGCCUGCGCGUGGACGAGGUCGCCGAGGCGGGCGGGCCGGAGGUGGUUGACGGACAGCUGCACACCGGCGACGCGCUGGUACCCGGACGCCAUGUACGCGCCGACGCUCGCCGCGGACUCCGCCACCAGCGCCGACACGCCACCGUUCAGCACCCCGAACGGCUGGCAGCACGUGCCGGUGACGGGGAGCCGUCCGGCGACCUCGCCCGCGCUGAUGCGGGUGAACUCGAACCCCAGCGCGUGCAGGGCCUUGUCCGCCACUACGGCGCCCUCCUCGCCCGCUGGCGGCGUCGGCGGCGGUGGGCGCUUGUCGUCGGCGCCCAUGGUCAUCGCUGGCUGCCCAAACUCUUCGACAGUCGAGGAUGGCGUGGUGGAGGACAGGAGGAGCAAUCGACCAUGGGUGAGCGUGAGGCGACUGGUGGAUAAUAAAGCGCCAACCAAAGCGGACCAGCACGUACGUACGCUGACCAUGGCUGUGUCGAUGUCGAUGGCCGUGGGCUUGGGUGGGCUGUACUUUUGCAAACUAUCUGGGGAUGUGUUGGGCUGGGCUUUGAUUGAAUGGACCACGACGCGCGGAAAUAUUUUUCCCAUUUGUCGAGCGAGAAACAAGGAAAGAAUCUAGUAUGUUUUAAGAAUUUCACCGUCGGAUCCUACUCAAACUUCUGUUUUCUCUUUUAUGAUAACCUCAACUAAGAACAUCUGUAUGAUGGAGGUUCACGACGCCAGUGUGGCCCAUCAUCCUGCGCACAUGUGGAGCUGUUGCUUCCUCUUUUGGUCCCUCCUCUCUCUAGCAUUGUUCCGGCUUUUCUCAAUUCCAAAGGACAAUGCAGGUACCUAAAUCACGAAAGGGUUUUCUUUGUCUUAAUUAGUUGAAGCAAAGUGAAGCGUCGAUGAAAAGAUAGAUGCAAGCUAAGGAGCUGCGGCCUAACUAUUGCUAAGGAAAAGUCUAAAGCGCGCCGACCGCCGCGCGCGAGUGCGCGACCUUCGUGGCCUGCUGCGGCCUAGCGAGAGGAUAGUGGGCUGCUGCGGCCCACACACUUUUUUCUUUUAAUUAUACCUUACAAUAACUUUGUUAUGGAGUGUUUAUUUUCAAUUCCGUUUGCACCAUUAUUUUUCUUAUGACAAUAUCUUCAAAACAAGAUGUAUAAUACAUAUGUUUUGGAAUAUAUUUUUAUAAGCUGACAACUUAUAUUGAAUGUGCAAUAGCUUAUAUUUGUUUGUAGCAACUUAUAUAUAAACACCUCAACAAAUGAUGUAGAUAAAGUGCUACAAACUUAUUAUCAUGUCCUUUUGCCUGGCUCUACAUAAGUUGAUACCAGCUAUAUUACAUCAUAUUAUCUUCGUCCAAGUUGUUCCACAAUCUUCCAACAAAUUGAUACAUUUGUCUCUAUAUAAAUUUUCUAAAUGAUAAAUAGAGAUACCACAUAAGUUGCUACAUAGUCAAUACGUAAGUUUGAUAUAUCACCUCUACAUAAUCCAUUACACUGUAUCAAAUUUUCUAUUGAUCUUUACAUAAGUUUGAUAGAUAAGUUGUUACGCAGUUUGUCUAUAAGUUACGACUUACAAUCAAUAUAACUUGACAGUCGCAUAAACAGCAUUAAAACAUAUCAAAUAUGGAUCUUGUUUUGUAGAUCUCAUUGCUAGGAACACAAUGGUGCAAACAGAUUUAAAAACGGACACUCGAUGUGAGAGUAAUGAUUAUUUAAAUGAAAUAUAAACAGUUUUUGCUGAUGACAUCAUCACCAAAAAUGACGUCCUCCUACCUAACCUGCACGCUGCACCCCAUUGAAUUGAUAAUGUCACAUGUUAGCAAAUAAUAGGCAAGCAAACUUGUAGUAAACAACUCUGUUGCACGCUCACCCGUACACCGGUCAGAAGAAAUGUGCAAGUGUUGGAUAGGAGGUCGCGUGCUAACAGUUGGCGCGACCGGUCGCACGUUAACCUCGUCCGCUAGUGAAGUUGCACCGAAGAAGUUGCACCAAAUGAGAGCACGUCAAUGAUGACCAGCAAACUGAGUGUAGGUUAGAUUUCUUAUGUUGAAAUCCAACGACACAGGUUUUGAGUCCUGGACUCAGUAUCCGAUGCUCGUAUUUUUUUCUUUUUAGUUUUUGGAUUUUUUUCAAGAAUCAACAAUGUUGUAUUUUGUGUGUUAGGAGACAUUGAUGUGUCCAUCGACAAGAAAGUAUCUAUGGUGAUCUCAUCAAUAUUAAGAUCCGCUGACAACCCAAUCUCUCAUAGGUGCUUAUAGAGUAGUAGGAUGUGGGUACGUCGGUGUAUGCGUUUCGAAAAAAGAGCACAAUGAUGAUUAAAAGGUAAAGCUUGUGACCACCACAUGUGGCACCGUCUAAUAAUCAGUAGAUCUCAUGUGCUACAUCACUGUACAUGUCGUGCAUAUGACUUAUUUUUUGUCAGAAAAAAGAUAUGCAUGUGGAGCAUGUAUAUCAUUAUCAAAUGUUAACCCAGCAAUCACAGGCGAGAAGAAGUAAUCAUUAACCAGAAAAUUAAUGAACUUUGUGGCAGAGGUUCCCCAUAAUGAUGCACUUUAAAUUUCGCAUUAUGCUGUUCCAGGAAUAAACCAUCAUCGUAUAUAUAGUUUGCAUCUAUCAUUCGGCAAACAAUGCAAGUUAGAUUGUGUUGCCACUUCUUUCUCAGCUCCAUUAGGGGAAUAUCUAAUCAUUGGAAGUCUCUUGGUCUCCCAUAUGCGUAUGUUCUUGACAGAUAGAGAGGACGACUAAAUGACUUGAUUGCGAGGGCGCGGCCAGGCGGCGGCGGCGGCGGCGACGACGACAUGGAACGAAUUGAAGGGCGUCCGAGUUCAUUCCACCGCCGCAUGCUGGGCGGCGGCGAUGACGACGCGGCGCCGUGGUCGCGCUAGUAGUAGGCGGCAGGUCACCCACGACGCCGUACGUGCCGUGCGACGGUGCGAGUUGUCCAGUUGCUGUGCCCCGUCUGGUUAGGUUGCUUGUUUUGGUGUACCGACGCCCCGGCACAUGCUUUUGGCCGGCGGCAGCGGCAGCGGCAGCGGCAGUACGUGUUCCAUAUGCUACCUAACUUGAUCCGUCUAUUGGGAUUGGAACUCGAGCGGGUCACGUGAACGCAAAAGCUUUGCUUUCCCCUUCCGGCCGUGAUUGCCACAAAACAAUAAAGUUAGGAUAUGGCUAGAUAAAUGUUUCAAGUGGUCCAUAUAUGUUUGUAUACUAGUAAAUUUCUAUAAUUUUAUUUACGCUGCCCGAUGCAUGGAUUCAGUGAUCGAGUUGUCUCUAUUUUACUCCUCCUGUGCCUGUGCCCAGCUAUCAGGAUUCAAGAUAGCAUCAUAGUCAGAUGUUGUGUCGAGUAGUUGAUGGGCACUGCUGCCUGCUUGGUUUUCGGUUACCUAUAGCCUCACUCACGGCCUGACCAUGCUCAUCAUCACCAUUUCAUUUGGUCCAUUUCUUUACGUUGAGUAGAUGUGCGUUCCCCCGGAUCGGAGCUCAUCAUCUCUGAUCUGACCAUGCAUGUGACCGUGUGAACGCGCGCAUAUAUACUCAGAUUGAAUCGAUGCAUGUCAAUGUUGGAAAAUUUAUUAAGCCCCGGCAAUAACCGGCCAUCACAUGGAAAGGUUUUCAGAGUCCAGCAUCUGCUUUGUUUAGUGGUUGCAUUUUGCAGUCUCCAAUGUUUUUCUUUGGCCGAUAAAAUUGAGUACCGACGUCCUCCCUAAUCAUCACUUAAAUGCCUCUCCUCUGGUCUCGUGCAUCAUUAAACAUCAUUUGAUUAUGUCUGAUACCGGACACGGAGAGAAACCGUUGGUCGUCACCGCCGGUGGCCGGCGCCCCGGGCGGUUUUCUAGGCCGGCGGCCUUGCUUUAUUUGCAGACCAUUGCAUAUGUACAAGAGAGAGAAUCCAUUGCAUACAACACAAGCUGCCAAAUGGUCAAAAGCCAUUGGCUCGUCAGUCUAGCAGAAGCACCGUGCAGUAGUGGCGGAGCGCGUCGGUCAGAGGCUCAGGGCUCUGUCCGGGCGGCUGUAUACUGCGGGAAACAUGCGUGCAUGCAUCACGCGCGUGACAAGAGCGAGGCUGGGGCCGACGCGGCUUGACGCUUGAGUGCUUGACGGCUUGUGGUCUGGGCGGCGCCGGAGCGGGCUCCGCCGGGCCCCCUUGCCCAUCACCGUCUCCGGCUCCGGCUCCUCCGUGCAUGUGCGCCUGCAUGCGACCUCAUGAUUCUGUCCUUUUAACCCAUGGACCCAGAUCGAGCCGGUGCACGUGCCGCCAUGCGCGCCGUGUCCCCACACCCCCACGAUUCUGUUCGCACUUGCAUAGCUGCAUUGCAUCUGCAUCGAGAAGAACACCGAGAUCCUUGGGUUUACAGGAACAAUAUCAAAUCGUCAACUUUCAUAUUUAACUACUACGUAAUCUCGCAACGAUACUCUAAUGUGACGGGAAUGAUUACUUAACGUUAUAGAAACAAAACAAUAGAGGACUGCUGGAGAUGAGACGACUCUCUCCUCCCAUUAUCAGGGCGCAUGUGUGCCCAGCCCAGCCCGGAGCGCCGUCGGAUCACCGGAGCUCCGGCGAUCCGACGGCGGCUUUUCAUCCUGUUCGGCCGGGCCGGGGCGCCACUUACGCGCCAAGAGAGCUUUUCAAUGCGUGCCAAAUAAAUUUCUGUUUCUUGGGUCGACAUCAACGUGCACCCCCACCAAUCUUGUCUUCCGGAUCUUGCCUCCCAGUCCCACCUUCCUCUCACUCCUCUUCGUCCUCCCUUUGCUUCUUCCUCCCUCUCCUCUUCGCCGUGGAUCACGGAUGGGUAUAUAUAUGGGCUCAAAGGACCCGGCCGAGUAGCUGUUGUUUACCACAGCACAGUACUCCUCCUCUGAUCCCAGCAUACACACACAAAAGACACCGAUUGAUUCCAGCAACCAGCAUAGUCCUUCAUCUGUACGACACAAACAUCGAACACCAGUAGCAGCGGAUUCCAUUGCAUUUGCAUCAUGGGUUCUUGGGUGCGCACCAUCACGACGCCCUUCAGGAAGAUGCUCAACCCGCAGCGUGACGGCAAGAAGACGCCGCGCCACCACCACCACCACCAACAACAACAACAAUCUCCUUCAGGUAAAUACACGAUUGUUUUGGUUUUCGCAUCUAUCCAUAAAUCUAUCUCUUAUGUAUGAUUUGAUAAAUGGAUGCUCAUGGCGUUUGCGCAUGAUUUGCAGCCAUGGAGCACAGCGGCGAGAUGGAGAGGUCGCAGCUCUACGGCGAGGUGAUGGCGUGCACCUACGAGGACGUGCAGGUCAUGUGGUCCAUGCUCGACAAGGCCAGGAUCUGCAGCGCCGCCGCCUCCUGACCACUAUACACACACAUCCUCUUCAUCCAUCCGAUCCGUCCGUCCAUGGCGAGAACGAGAUCGAUCCACCAGUAUAUACAAACACAGCCAUAGCCAUUAUUCAUUGCAAAAGCAAAGCUCUUGGCGACAACGACAGUACCUUCAGUCUGCCGAGGCGGCAUGCAAGCAGUUCCAAUCCCAAGACUUUUUUUUCAGUUGGUUUCGUGUGGCGCGCGUGUACCAUGUUCAUGCGCAUGGUCGAGUCUGAAUCCCCGCUGCUGGCACACACAUGGAUCAUGGUGGAAGGCCGCCGGUGUGCUGUCUUGGAGAGAUUUAGUGACCCACAACAUUUUAGCUAGGUGUUGCUGCUUUUGAGGCCAUCAUGCUUUGUUUUCCUCUUUUUCUAUUUUUCGGUGUCAGAGAUGCAUGUAUUCAUCAUCCGAUGCAUGAGUUUAUAUAGAACUUCCAGAGAUCUGAACUUUAUCUCUGUUUUGAACCUCAACUACGAAGUACUUCACCUUCAUCUUAGGCCUAUUUUGGAAGGACGUGACUGAUUAGCCCAGGGUAGAAGUGCCCCUGAGGUUUUUUUUUUUUUGACUUUGCGGGGUUUUUUUUUUACUUUUCGAAUCCCUUCCACCAGAGAUUUGCUGACUCCUAUCCCGUUGCUGUUUGGAAGCUAUGAGUCUCUGACGCAGGGCAAGCACAGCGGGAGGGAUAUAUGUAACAGCGGGAGGGAUAAUAAUAGCAAGAGAUAUAAAUGGUAUGGAAGAUAUGUGCUUUGCUGAUGACAUAGUGAUAAAUCAACCAAACUUCAGUCCACACAAAUGGUAAAAAUAUCAUAUUACAUCCAGCUGAAGCAAAAUAUAAAAAUUUACAGAUUUCUCAGCAUGUUUAAUUUAAGCUCAUAAUUUAACCAUUGAUGCAAUAAUACAAGUUUUUUUUAGUAAAAGAAGCUGUCAAAUACUCACAACCAUUCUCUUCAUGCUUCAUGGUUCUCCUCAACAGUCACAAAUUCUAUCAAAUAAACAAUAAAAUAAAAAUUGAGAUCAGUGUUGAGGAGAUGCAACCAGGGUGCUGUUGGAGUUGUAGUUCCAUUCAUUCUUCAAAAGUUUUGUUUCAUUUCUUCCAAAUGAAAGUUUUCUCCCGCCAAAAGAAAAGAGAGUUUUCGCAAGGUAUACUUUCUCAGAUGUGCUUACAGUAUGCCACGAACUGACAAAAGAGAAAGCAGUACUCUCUCGCAGAGGAUAAAAGGAUGCAUACCAAUUGUCAUGAGCCAUCUAUGAUUUGAUACCGAAGAAAUACCUUUACGCGUGAAUCUAGCUGUAUUAACACCAUAUGAGUCAAUAAGUGGACCUCUAAGUAAGAAAAAUUGUAAAUAUGGAACAUAUAUGCAUGCUGAUCAUUCAUGUUCAGAGCUAACAUUUGAUUCAAUAACGAAGAGAGAACUUGUUUGACAAUACAGUGAGAGUGAGUGUACAUAAAACCACAAGCCAACAGCACGAAGAUAGCUAUUAUAAUUACAAGCAAGUUUACAGCAGUGUACUCACAGCCGCUGCUUAUCUAGCAACAUAGUCUAUGUCAGAUCUAGUAUACUAAUCUGCAGAGAAAUAAUUCCACAUUAUACACUCCAGCUGCUUGAAAUUUUUUACGUAAUCAGUAGAACAUCCAGUUCAGCUGGAGGUAUGUUCAAAUUACUUGAGCACCUGGAUGGCUGGAUGUACCUAUCUUUAAUCAGUUGAACAAUGUGCUCUGGAUGUACCUGUGUUCCAGGGAAUGAUUUAACCAACAGGUGGCAAUAGGUUAAGAGGAAUAAUUUAAAGCACUCGCAUGUGAAAUGGAUGGAAUCUGCCUGCGGCACAGGUGAAAGAAUGGAGAUGUACUGAAAGUCUGAACUUCUGCUAAAACAAUUGCACAUUCAAACUGUUAAUAAUUUAAUUUGCAGUAGUUUGUGGUGCUGAAUUCCUUUUGGAAUCGGUGGCACAUAUGGAAAAACGGGGUGUAACGAAGGUCUGAAACUUCUGCUAAAAUAAUUUUGCACAUUCAAACUAGUAAUGCUUUGCAUCAGUUUAGAUAUAUUGAAAUGUGCUCUCGAACAGAAGUAAGCUACAUGCAUGUGAAACAAAUAAGACCCUGCAAACUCAAAUCAAAGUGACACUCACAAGUUAAGAAAUAUCACAACAGAUGUGCAUUCCCAUCUGUGAAUUUCCUUUCCCUUCAUUACCAUUCCAUUAGAUUUCCAUAUCACCUCGUCAUCUCCGCUAGAGCCGUACGUGUACGUGGUGACGUUGGCCUUGGGCGCGACGAUGGGGACACGCGUGGUGCAGACGGUGCCGACGACGUCGGGGAUUCCAGACACGGCCUCGAACCUAGCCGCAGCGGGGGGCCCGUCUGGCCAGAUGACCUCGGGUUUUAGCACUGUGGCAAGGGCGUGGCAUACCUGGAGCAGGUUGAGAUGCCAAGGCUGAAGUGGCGGGAGAUCUCACGGAGGGGCUCCCCCGUGGCGAGGUGCCAGAGGUGGGCCACCACGCGCCGGCGCACGGGGGCAUGUGAAAGGCUCCGGCCGGGGAUUGGGUGGCCGACGGGAAGGAGGCGCCGGCGGUGGCGCGGGACUCAUUGCCGGAGCAGGACGACGGGGAGGCAGAGCGGCUGCAGCGCCUCAACCGAAUGCUCGCCGUCAGGGCCAAGGAGGAGCAGAGCCGGGCAACGCCGCUGGAGGCGAGGCUCAGCGAGGUCUCGAAGACGCCGCCGUGCUCGCCGCGGCGGAGCACGGAGUGCUCCUAGCGGCGCUGGCGGCCCCACUCCGGGCCGCGGAGGAGGAGCUCGCGGCGCGGGUGCCCGCCACGCGGUGGUACGGGAGGUGCUCGGGCGCGUCGAGGUGGAGGCGGCACGCGAGGCAGCGGCGGGGGCUGACGCCGCGGCGCAGCUCCAGGGGUCCGCCGCGGAGAAUCGAUCAUUCUCGGAGUGGAUUGGCGCCAAGGGCGCCGAGGCACAAUGCGUGGGGAGACUACACGGCGGCAGGGCAGAGCGGAGGACCAAGGUGAGCCAAGAACGCCGAUUGCUAAUAGAACUCGAUUCCGUCAAUGGCCAUAUAGAUAAGGUUCCAGUGGGGCCACGUUGUCAGUGUCACAUAUGGAUGGAAAAUCUAACGGAAUGGCAAUGAAGGGAAAGGAAAUUAGAAAUAGUGGCAGUGAGGGGAAGAGAAAACUUUCGAUGGCAUUGAGGGGAUCGUUAUAAUUUCCAAUGGCAUCAAGGUAAUUCACUCUUUUAUUUUACGGUCCUAAAUUUCGUCCCUGCCUACUCGUAUAGUCCCAUGAACACUCUUUUAUCUUAACAACAAAAUCACAUAUGUGGUAUGUCAGAGCCUUGCCUCUAUUCUGAAGAAAAUUUUUAUGGGACGACAGACUCCGAGUAUCUACACAACCAUUCUAUAGGGCAUCCAUGGAAACAAAGCGAAUAGAGCAUUAAAGGUGUACAAUUCAGUUGGAAUGAUAGAGAUUCUGUUUUCUGUUCACUAAUCUAAUGUAGUAUGACAGUUCUAGUGAAUAGAAAAACUAGAGGAUGGAGAUGAACAUCAAACUGCAGCACUGCUAAUAUUGCUGUUUACUUCAGAGUUCUGAUCGAACGGUUCGAAAGCUCAAAUAAAUAACUCACCAUUCAACAGUAUAAUUUUGUAUACAAUAUUCUACUCCCACUGAAAUAGUGUAGUAUCUUUCUUAAAAUUUACAGUACGAAGAUUUUCAUAAACUUAGAAAGCAUAUGUACCCUUUUUUCCUUUUGAAAGAAAGAAAGCAUAUUACUCUUGCAUAGUGUACACUAGUACUCCUAUGAUAGAAGGUUGCUAUGCCCUAAAAAAAAAGAUAGAAGGUUGCUAGAAGUAACUAACAGCCCAUCAAGCAGGGUACCCUGGGCCAAAUCGUUAAUUUCUUUGUUAGGUACUGAUGCUGCGGCCCAAUUCCAGCGCGUGCGCUACAAAUUUACUUUCUUAACCUCAACAGGCCCGCCUCAGCCAACAUCAUUGCGGCCCAAUAAGAAAAAUGCGGCCCAUCGUUUCCUGAAGGCCUUGAGGCCUAGCCUAACUACUGCACCGUCUGCUGGCCCACUUGCAUUGAACGGACAAGUAAUCAAAAGUUAAUAGGAACCAUUCAUUGCGUAGGAAAACUUCUAAAUAAAUCACGGAACAAUACGAGUACUAAUAUACUCGACCCAGGCCCAUCAGGCUGAAUAUGAAGAUCAGGGACGGCGGCCCAUCAUCGCGCAGGAUCACGAUCCAGAACGCGGCGUCGACGUGCAGCCACAUGCCAUGGCGGCGCGUCACCUCCCCGAGCUCGCGCACGGGGUCGGCCGCGCCGAGCCCCGUCGUCCCGAUCGUGGCGCAGAGGUACAGCGGCACCGGGUCGCGGGCGACGUCGGGAUGAGUAGAUGACGCGGAAGUUGGAGGGCGGGACGCCGACGACCCGCGCGCCCUUCUGGAACGUGGCGUGCGCCAGGUCGGAGGCGUAGACCACCAGCCUCGCGAUGGCAUCGUUUCCCAGCGCGGCCAGCGCGCGGUCCCGCGCGGCGGCGAGCGUGCACACCACGACCUCGCACCUGCUCCCCUGCAGGACGCCCCCGCCACGGCCGGAGGAGAGGAACCGCUGCGGUAGGCCGAGCAGCGCGGCCGUCCAGUCCACGACGACGCCCUCGAAGCUCGGCGGCGUCCGGCGACGCCGCCCACGUGAAGGGCACGAAGACGUUGAGGCCAGCCGAGAGCAUCUCCCCCGCGAAGCCCGCGGCGCUGGCGUUGGCCGGGAAGUAGGCGAAGAAGCUGGGGGCUCUGCCAGUGCGUGAGGCCCGGGAGGAUGUCCCGGCGCACGUCGUCCAGGACGCUCUCCAUGGACUCGCCGCACUCCGGUGCCGCAUUGGGGAGCAGCGCCCGGAGCCUGCCGGGCUCGAGGCCGGCGGCCCGGACUAGGUACUGGUCGAUGUCGCGGUAGUACGCGGCGAGGAAGUCCAGCACGGCACGCGAAUCGCGAGUCGCCGGGGAAGGUCUCGGAAGUCCAGUGGCUGGAAUGGCGCGUCGAGCGGCAAGCUGCCCAUCUUCCGACACUGGCAGAGACCGAGCAUACGUACUUGGAAGUUGUGGCUCACGGUUGCCGCUGUUCCAUCCAAGUCAGCACCGCUGCACCAGCUGCAAAAUAAUCUCCAAAUAAUUUUCCCAAACAUGAACAUAUAUCUUGGGCAAAAUAAUUUUAUUUUCGUGCUUGACACACUUUCCAUGAGCAAAUGUUCACCAAAUGAUCUUGUGUGUUUGACACUUUCCAUGAGCAUACUACCGUGGCCCAUAAUCACAUUCCAACGAGGUUGCUUCAUCUCACCGUGGUGUGGGUGGUAAUCUUGAUGUUGUCUACAGCAUGCUUGUGGCCUCCAGCACCGCCGGCCAGACCGUCAGCUCAUCGGACUCAUUGGACCGCCGUGUGUGUGUCUCAACGCAACGGCCACGGAGACGUCACAGAUCGAUCAGGAUGGAAUUAUGGAAAGCUCCUCCGCCUUCUCGAGUAGCUUGGUGCCCCACGUUCUUGUCGACGACGAUCGGUCAACUCAUCUUGACCAUCCAAAAAUGCAUCACGACCUUGUGACUAUGCCAAUGACCAACAUCGUAUCUGCCUCCAAUAGAGCCCCCCACGUACACACCAUCUUCUAAUUUCCACCCAAGAACGUAACAUCCUCUAAUACAAUUCACUUGGUCCUACGAACUCAAACAACUUUGGACAAGUCAUAAAUGCUAACACUUUAACUUGCAUGCUGCACACGCACAAUUCUUUCCAUCUGCAUCAUGUCAAAAUACAUUUACACAUUACCGCCCUACAGUAAAGCACCAAAAUUUUCUACGCACACGCACACGCACACAACUAGCUAGUAAGUGUAUUGAAUAUAGGAUUUUUAGUGCGGCAACAUUUCGAAUACUCAUAUGUGAAAAGAGAACACCUUAAAUCCUUAAUCUAAUGUAGAGAAGAAUGUAUAAAGCAUUACUUUCAUAAAAUUAAUUGGUCAAUCAUAGAAUACAUAGAACCCUGUUCUAAGGACUCUACACGAUUGAUAACAAAACUCCACAUGACUCUGCAAGAAAAUGAAUAAAAGACACAACUUAGAAGCCUUAUUUCUGGCUGGCUGAGAUAGAAGUCUUAUUUGUGGCUGCAGGCUAAGAUAGGAGCCCUUUACACAAGGGCUUUGAAGCUGUAAGUUUAUUGAACAUAAGAUUUUUAGUGUGCCAAUAUUUCAAAAAAUAAAGCAUAUACUGCUCAUCAUGUGUACUCAAUGUGAAAAGAUAACACCUUACAUCCUCAAUCUACUGUAGAGAAGAAUGUAUAAAAUAUUACUUUCAUAAAAUUAAUUGAUCAAAUGACAUAGAAUACAUAGAGCCCUAUUCUAAGGACUCGGCAUGAUUAAUAACAAAACUCCAUAUGACUCUAAAAGCAAAUGAACAAAAGGCACAACUUAGAAGCCUUAUUUCUUGCUGGCUGAAAUAGAAGCCUUAUUUGUGGUUGCAGGCUAAGAUAGGAGCCCUUUAUACAAGGGCUUUGAAGCUGUAAGUGUAUUAAACAUAAGAUUUUUAGUGUGCCAAAAAGCAUAUACAUCUUGUGUACUCAUAUGUGAAAAGAGAACACCUUAAAUCCUCAAUCUACUAUAGAGAAGAAUGUAUAAAACAUUACUUUUAUAAAAUUAAUUGAUCAACAUAGUGCCCUGUUCUAAAGGACUCGACACGAUUGAUAACAAAACUCCACAUGACUCUAAAAGCAAAUGAACAAAACACACGACUUAGAAGUCUUACUUUUAGCUGGCUGAGAUAGAAGCCUUAUUUGUGGCUGCAGGCUAAGAUAGAAGCCCUUUAUACUGGGCAUGGCACAAUGAUUUACAAAUUCAAAUUAGACGAAGAGUCCCACCUGGGUGUUUUACCAUUUAUGCCGGGCGUGGCCGGGGGGAAUAAUGGAGGGUGCAUGGCACCAGCAGGGUUACAUUGGAGACCACCGGGUGGUCGGUUGGGACUUGGCCGGGAGAGCCAGCUAGCGGCAGGGGAGCGGUUUACAUAGCGAACAUAGCACACCAAUCAUCUACUACGUGACGCUGGAGAACUGGGAGGCGGCAGCGCCACAGCCGAUCGAGCUUCAUCUCUGCAAGUGAUCAGCAGGCGGGGAAGGCUAGCUUGUCUCGCGCCCAUGGAACACGACUUCGUGCCGGUGCUUCCAGAGGUGCCAGCAGCAGAGCAAGACGAGCGUGGGCAGAGCAGUGACGGGGUAGCAGUGGUCUCCUGGAGCGCGAGUGUACCGGGGGGAGAGCGGCAUGGUCCCAUCCAAUGUGUCGCCAGAAACGGCACGCAAACGGGCAGUUGCGGAUGAGGUGCCGAGGUGGCGUCGUCGAGGACGUUCUUGCUCGACAGAUUGCGCUUGCACUGGAUUCGCCCUUGGACGAGAAGCCAAAGCGAAGAAUCUUACGCGCGGCGGGGCGUGAUUGCGCCAGACGAAGGCGUAGUAGGGGCAGGCGGCAACGUCGGCGCGGUAGACAGCUGCGGCACUAAGGGCGCGGCCGGGCUUCUCGAAACGACUCCGGCGAUCGUCCGCCGCCGGGGUGAGAGCCUGGGGACGAGAAACGUGCCGAUGCCGGUGUUCAUCACGUCGUGCACCGUGGCGCCCUGCUGGCGCGCCACAUGGUUGUACAGGGCAGGGAGGGACGUGGCCAGCGGCGCCUAACCGAGCCAGGCAUGACCGAGACGCAGGUGAUUGGGCCUUGGGCGCUGGGCGGAGCGCCGGCAGGAGAGCACGCAACACGUCCCAGUGCGCGCCCUGAUCGAACGUCCCCAGACAAGGUGGCGAGGUACGGUCGACGCGCUCGCGUGUCCAGAGCGCCCAAGAUGACUCGCCAGGAUGAUGUAGGCGGCGCAGCAGCUUAAGAAGUAGGGCGGCAUUCUGGACCGCGAGUUGCCGAAUCCCCAGGCCACCGUCUUCCUUGGCUUGGCAGGCGCGCGCCUACGCAAUGAGGCAUUGUGCCCGCCGGACACCGUCUCGUUGCCGCUCAAGAGGAACGCAUGGCAACGACAACGGUCCAGGGCGUCGAGCACCUCCGGGGAGCAGUAGCGCCGCCAUGAGGUAGGUGGGGAGCUCGUCUAUGACGGAGUUGAUCCAGACCACCUGGACAGCCGAGCUGAGCACAGCAGGAGGGCUUGCCCUGCCGGACAGGUACGUACCUGUCCACCUUGGCGAUGAGUGGGGCGAACGCGGCAAGGUUGAGUUUCACAUAGUUUUGAUUUUUUUUCAUACCCAUUGACAAAGGAUUUAUGCACUAUAAGUGUAUUUUAUUGUCUAUGAAAUAUGUGACAAAAUUAGUCUACAUCUCCUUUACUUUAUUUAAGAAUAUGUAUUUUGUAUUUUAUGUUCUUUAUCAAGAAUUUUCUAGUCAAACUACGAUCAUACACAAUACAAAUCAAGUGGCAAUUAGCUGAACUAGAAAAUAUUUUAAAGCUGCAUUACAUAUAUGUGCUUCUGAAAAACUUGAUGAAAUAGCACAGUAUCAUAUGAGAAACUAUAAAAUUGCAUUUAGAAUCAGAUGUUAUGCGUGUACCAAGCUGAUACUGAGCAUGCACUCCCGUCGGCCCAUUGCAGGAAAACCCUGAAUCGUGAUAGGGUGAUAUCUGAAGCCCUGAACUAUCAAGCUAGCCUUCUUGAUCAGCUUUAUUUUUUGCAUCGAAAAUCCUCAAAGGUUAUUGUGUGAAUAGUAUAUAUAAAGUGCAGCGAAGGAGCCAAAAGCACUGGCACAGACCAAGCACGACUAUGCAUGGAGGUGUAAUGAGGUGACACUGUAGUGGUGUCACAAUGCAUGGGUCAGUACUUGAGGCAACAUUUUCUUUUAUCAAUAGCAUUUGCACUCAACCGGUAAUACUAAUACCCAUAAAGAGUAGUAUUAUUUGAGUUGAUUAACUUAUUCUCAUAUAAUAUUUUUUAUUAGUAUGCUAAGAGAUAAUAAAUUCCUAUAACUUGUAAUAAAUAAAUUGAAGUCCUUUUUUGUCAUUGUCUCUAGAAUAGCAAAGGAUUCUGGUUUGGAAGAACAUUGUGUAAAAUCCCCAAAAUAGUAACUGCUCCUCAAUAAACAGAGAAAAAUAUUGAUCAAAACAGUUGAUGAGCUUAUCAGCACGGUUGAUGGAUGCUGGGAAAUAUCAUUAUUGGUUGACCAUAUUUUCUCACAAGAGCAUGAACGAAGAAGUUCGCCAAAUAGAAGGCGGUAUAACAGAUACAUUUGAUGAAAUGGUAUCAUAACGUUCAGGGGCUCUUUUUCUGUCAAAAUUAUGAUAAAACUUAGGUGUGUGUCGCAAUAUAUGAUGAUCCGGAAUGAACAGGAUCCAUCAGGUUCAACAGGAAAUGCAAUCAUUUUCAAUUGCAAAUAAAUUGAAAAUCAUCCUAUGGAGUCUUGCACAUAAAUAACGUUCCUCUAUACAGAAGUAACUCCAUGCCCAGUUUAUUGCGGGAUUAGAUGAAGAAUGAUGGUCGUUCAUUUGCAAUAUGAAUAUGCACUAGAAAUCUAGACAGGAGCAGGUUUGGACGAUGUACGCGGUCCAUUGGUAGAACAGAUGUGAUUGGCUCCGUUUCUGCAGAAAAUUGUAUUCUAAAAAAAAUGGCAGGGAGAAAAAUUAAUAGAUAGAGUUACUGUUAACGAGGGGAGGAGAACAGAGGGAACUGUCUUUGACCGGGAGUCUCUAAUCAGCGCGCCAGGGCCGCCAGCGCUCGAUCUCCCGACAGCCCGUCCUUCCGACAGCCCGCGACUUUCCUUUCUGGGAAAGUUUAAAAUCUCGUAACUUUCCAUUUUCAGAAUAUCAUAACUUAUAUACAUAACUUUGAUGUAUAACUCCACAAUAUAAUUUUUAUGAGAUAAUUUUUUAGCACAACUUCAAUAGCGUGCAGAACUUAUGUGUAUAACUUCUAGGUACAAUUUGCAAGAAUAACUUUAAAUUUUGUUUUUUUGAAAGUUGUAACCUAUACGAAUAAUUUGUACGCAUAACUUUUUUCCUAACAAGAUGAUAAAUUUCGUAAUACAAUUUUCAUAAUAUACAUAACUUAUACACGUAAUAUUUGUCGUAACUUUUAAGAGAAUGUAUGCACAUAACUUAUACAUAUAUACAAAUAUUUACCUAAUAUUUAAAAUAAUUGAAAAAGAAAAACGCGUGGGGUCACGUGAGGCCCACCGGGCUUACGCGCCCUGAAGCGCUGCAGCGCGUGUCUAAUUAACAUUGCGUCUUUAACCUCACCUGACAGAGAACUUAGGCCCCGUUUGGAUACACAAUGCUAAACUUUAGCACAGUGCUAAACUUUAGCACCUUCAAAUGGAGUGCUAAAGUUUAGCACUUGGGGUUGUUUGGAUACAGUACUAAAGUUUAGCACAUUGGGUGAGAAAUGACUACAUUGCCCUCAUUUAUGACUGGCUUGGGGAAAAGUGGAGAGGAGAGAGGGGGCAGCAGGGAAAAAAUAGGUUUGGAUCACUUUUAGCACCCAUUAGCACCUUUUAGCAUCCCUUGGGUGUGCUAAAGAAAAUGAGGGUGCUAAACUUUAGCACACCCCUUUUAGCACCCCUGUUUGGGAGCCCAAGUGCUAAAAUAUGCUAAAAAGUGGGGUGCUAAAGUUUAGCACCCCUCUCCAAACAGGGCUUACUUUUUUUUCCUCAGUUGGUUAGGUAUCCUGUGGUUGAACCUGUCCACCCAGGUACAAAUUAAAUCCUUGACUCGGCGUGAGAAAACCUAAUGGCAGAGUUGUUUGUUGUUCCUAAUCCUGAAUUCCUGAUUCUGACGUUUGUCUGCAAUGAACAGCAUCUCGACCCAUCUGACCAUCUCUGUGUGAGGGAUCUUAAGGGCUAAUCUCUGACUGCUUGUUUAUAUCAACGCAUAUACCCUGUAAAUAAACUCAGAUCUGCUAGACCCUUUUCACUGAAACAACGGUUAUCACAACAGAGGAGUUAGUUCUGAAUAAAACAUAGAGCAGAAAAUUAAACAUGGAACACACUGUUGUAAAAUCCAAUCUGACAUAUAGCCUUAAGAGCUACUCGAUCUAACGACUCGAUGAUGACGACUCAAUACAUCAUAGAACCCUGUUCUAAGGACUCCAACUCGAUUGAAACGAACUCCACUACAUGACUCUGAAAGCAAACCGCCGCCACUUCAAAGACGGGGCUCACCGGCGUCACCGCCCAGGUUCUUGGGGGCAGGAGGUGCCCCAAGUGGCGGCGCGCCCUCCGCCAUCAGCGCCAGCACAAUUUCCGGCACCGCUGGUGGCUCCCGCGCCGCUUCCAUCUUGCUGAGCCUGUCGUUAACGAGCUUGAUGCGCUUGUCCACGAGCGCUUUGACGUCGACGAGGACGUCGAGGGGCAGAUCCUCGACGCGGCGGCGGUCCUCGAUGAGGUCGUGGAGGAUGAUGCUCAUGUCCAUCUCGCGGUUGGCGACCCUAAGACUCUCUACGCGAUGGCGCAUCAAGGCCUCGUACCUCUGCAGGUUGCUCGUGGCCCACCGCACGUUGUUGUCAGCGACCCCUUGGAUCAUGACGUUGCGGCGAGCCAUGUUACAACACAACAGGUAAAACCCUAGAGGCGCAGGAGAUGAAAGUGGCUACUGGCUGUUUGCUCUUGGUUGGUGUGAGGAAGACGAGGGAGAGGGGCUCCUUUUGUAGCCCGUCGGGCUGACGAAAAUGGAAUGGAGCUUGGCUGAAAAAUUGGAAAGGAGUGAUGCCUGGGAUAUCAGAUGACAGCAGGAAGGUGACUGUGCAAAUUAUUCCAAAAUAGAUUUCUUCUCCCGGCCGGAAUAAAACAGCUGGCUACGCGCCUAUCCUCAUUUUACCUGGACACGUGGUUGUACAUAAAAAAUGUUCCUGCUACAUUGACGUGUCAAGAAAAUACAAUGAAAUAAAGUUGCUCUGAAUCUCUGACUGCAAAGAGGGAAAUGUCCAUUGCAGAGGCAUGGAUAUCGAGACCAUGCAUGCGUUGUUGGUUCGUGUAAGAUCACAACGCAAAGGAAAGCUAGCACACACCGAUCUACAACAUGACAAUGUCCCAUUUCCAUCCAUAAGAAAUUGGACAUCCUGUAGUGUUACCUUGGUGAAAAUUUUGGCUUAGUAAUAUUCCUAUUUGUAAAAACAUUUGGCUUGGCGAGUUAAAGUAAAGCUUUACUGAUUUAUAAUUGUUUCUAGAAGUAGAUGCAGUCUCUAUGGAGUAGCAUAUAUCUCCAUUGCAGCCGAGUACCAUUUUACAAAUCCAUAGUAGAAUACAAUGAGCGAGGACCCAUAACUGAAGAACAAUGACCCAUUAACAAAGGACUCGAUCGUGCACUAUAAGUGUAUUUUAUUGGCUAUGAAAUAUGUGACAAAAUUAGUCUACAUCUCCUUUACUUCAUUUAUGAAUAUGUAUUUUGUAUUCUAUGUUCAGUAAGAAUUUCUAGCUAGUCAAACUACAGUCAUAUACACAAUACAAACUAAAUGAGCAGAUAAAUGAGCAGAGAGAUACGUUGAGAUGGGCUCCGGAGGAAAAAGGCACAUAUACAACCAGAUCAAUGUAUAUAUAGGUUUAUAACUUUCAGAGGGGUGGUAGACAGGAGGGCGUGCAAACAGUGGAAAAGUAAGUUACCCAUGAAAAUAAGAGUUUUCCUAUGUUCAGCAUUCCACAACAAGCUUCCUACUGGGGUAGUGUUAAAAAAGAAAAACUGGAAAGGAGAUGUCCUCUGUGUGGGGUACCAGAGACAGUAGAUCACAUCUUCUUUCAAUGUGUUUUAGAUGGGUUUGUUUGGGCUUGCUUCAAAGAAGCCCUGAGCUGGGAUAAAGUCCCAAGCAAUUUGGGGGAGGUGCUGGGAGGCUGGUUACAACUGGGGCGGUGUGUGACUAUGAUCUAAAGCUUUUUUCUUUUGCAACUAUAUGGUGGGUGCUUUGGAAUCAGCGAAAGAAGAUGAGAAUUGAAAGCAAAUUUCCAAAAUCACCAUCUGAUGUUAUGUUUACAAUAUCCUCUAACUUGCAAAGGUGGGAGAUAUUGCUGCAAUGUUCUGACAGAGGUCGCCUGGCCAUAGUACGUGAACAGAUGGAGAAAUGGCUUGGAGAAUAUCUGAAGAAGGAGAGGAUGCAGGAGACGGAUGAAGACUUACUCUAAUUCCCUACUCUGUGUCUUGGGUCCUUGUUUAGAUGCUCUCUGGUUGAGUGUCUCCUUUCUUAUUUCAACUUUCAAGUUGAACCAAUAUCUGUAGCUGGUAACCCCGGCAGAGUCUGUAACUAAACGUUAUUUGCUUUCUAUAAAAGAAGGAUGGAUUCUUGAUAAAAAAAACAAUGCAAAUUAAAUCAUGUCAGAGUUAGCUGAACUAGAAGAAUACUUUAAAGCUCUAUUGUAUGUGCUUCUGAAAAACUCAAUGAAAUAGCACAAUAUCCUAUGAAAAAUUAUAAACUUGGAUAAAGAAUUAUCAUACUGUCUUGAGAGUGAGAGUCUAAGUUACUUGGAUUGCUGUUGAUUAAAUUAGAGCUGCUUUACAAUUGUUAUAUCCAUGUACCGGGAUUCGAGGUCCUAAAAAGGUUUUAUUUGAAGGAAACUAUCAAAACAUUAUGCCUGCAGUUCAGAGGCUUUGGCCAAGCUUUACAUCUGAUAUUAGUUAGUUCUGGGAGCGUCAUGCAACUUUUCUUAAGGGCAAACGAAACUAAAGCUGGAUAAAAAUGACUGUUAGUGCACUACAAUUGUUCACUGAAACUACUACUAGGAAUUUUCCUACAUAUUGUUUAUUUAUGAAACUGCAUUAUAGAAGUCUAUAGCUCGAAUGUGCUAGUCAAACUAUAACUGUGUUAGAUGUGUGCACCUUGGUUGUCACAAUAGAUUGUCUUGGUUAGAUUUUGCAAUACCUUAUAACCAAACUAUAACCUUGCUCUAAUAAAGUACUGAAGCAGAGUUGAUUAUUAGUUGUAAAAACUUUAAAGUUUUGCUAUAUGAGUUAUGCAUCAGAAGCCCUACAACGUUACCUAAAGUUCAUGCUUUUCAAUUAGUAGGCAUGAAGCACUGUUCGCUUUCCGAUAAUACUAUUUUCCUCAAGUCCUCUCUCAGAUAUGUUUGUGAGCAUUAAUCAAAAGCAUCUAUAAGCAAGGUUGACCAUGUACUAACAAUAUUUCAGCAACUAAGAGGUUUCUUAACAAAAUAUCUCUUCUAAAUAAUCGAUACACAUUCAUACCUAAACAAACUUUUUAACUAUUUUUUGAGCCACUGGUUCCAAUCAAACAACUGCAAAAAUGCAUGCAUUUACUUCAUUUCAGAUGUUACUUAGUUCUAUCGAGUUGUACUUACAAAGAUCUUGGCUCCACCACUGCGUACAUGUCCUGUCAAAUAUGCAGGCAAGGGCGGAUCUAGCGGUGGGGCGGACAGGCCGGGCUCAAGCCCCCCCUACCGCUGCUUAGACAAUGGAGCCCCCCGGAAGCCCCUCCAUAAUUUUUUAGGAAGAAGGGAGAUAAGAAAGGGGAAGAAGAGGGAGCCCCUCCUAAACUCAUGGGCUACAUCCGUCACUGUAUGCAAGUACAUCACUACAUCGAUAGCUGUCCCACAUUUGAUUCUUCGGUUCUUUUUCUUGCCAUCCUGAUUCCUAUUAAUUUUUCUUGAUAUUUUUAUUCAACAUUUCAAGGAAAUUAAACCUGUUAAGAACUUCUGUGAGCCUCUGAAAGUCGGUGGAGUCAUUUUUUAUUAUAUUAUGAGGACCCACUUAGUCAUAUAAGGUGGUUUAUGUUGCUGGAAUCUAAUAAUGAACUGCAAGGAUACAACUCACAAAUUCUACUCCCUCUGUUCCAAAUUAUAAGUCAUUACAACUUUCUUGGAGAGUCAAAACAUCUCAAGUUUGACCAAAUUCAUACAAUAAAGUACUAACAUUCAUGAUACCAAAUAAGUAUCGUUAGUUUCUUCAUUAAAUAUAUUUUCAUAGCAUAUCUAUUUGGUGCAUAAACCUAUAUGAUCCUCUCUAUAAUUUUGGUCAAACAUAAAAUGGUUUGACUCUCCAAGAAAGUUGGAAUGACUUAUAAUUUGGAAUGGAGGGAGUAUAGUGUAACAAACGAUGCAAUGUCAAAUUUGGCAAAAUUAUGGUUUAAGGAUCUAGUAGUCGAGAUAUAGUACAAGGAAUGUGUAGGCUUUGUUCAAAUAAUUACUUCAAAUGUUAUUUAAGAAAAUUCCCUACUUCACACUGGUAUAAUGAAUGCUUCUUUAUAUGGCCCUCAAAAGUUAACAUGGGUCUAACUUCCAUUCGUGGUGUAGCGCUACCAUCCAUUUUGAUUAUUGCUAAUGGUGUUAAGCGGCACUUGAAAUGAUAAUUUUGCCCCUCAGUGUAUGUAAACAUUAUUUCUGGUGCAUAUUGUAUUAUUAUUUAGUGUAUGCUAAAAUUCAUGAAUUCAAUACAAGCCUUCAGUUAAUUCAACAUAAACUAUAAAACAACAUAGAUUAGCCGAAGCAAUCAAUUUUUCCUAGGACAAAUAGCCCACAACCAAGCUCUCCAUGUCCUAGUCAUCCAUGGCUAGCUGUAGCCAGCAUGUCCAUGGCAGCAGCCACGCCGUCUUACACUGCAGCCAUACCUUAAAAUAAUUGCUCAGCCCGUGCCGCCAGCGACGGCUGACCUAGGCCACCCACCACGUGCCUAGAUCUAGGAUUAUGAUUGGGAGGAUGAGACAAACAUAGAAGCGGACGGUGACGCCGAGCCCCCACACGAAUUUUGCUGCUGGAGCCAGCAUCCUUAGCCAAGGGCAUUUUGGCCCACACAUGGAAAAACUGACAUGAGACAAACCCAAGGUUGAUGUGAAUCCCUAAUAGAAUAGAAUAGACAUAAGUGUUACAUUAGGAAUGAAGGUUAAAUCUAGUGUCAAAUAGCAGGGAAUUUUCUCUUUGGUCCUGGGCAUAUAAUUUAUGUGCAGUCCAAAAUAUAAUCCGUGUUCUAACAUCAUUGACAAUGAAAGAUAAUUUAGCAUAUUUGCAUUUCCUCUAAUGUGAUAUGGAAAUAUUGAAAGUAGGGAUUGAUUUUUUUAUCGGAAGUCCAAGAAAUUACUUUUUUUCUAGCAGAAAAACUCGCAUACGGUUAUUUGAACCAAUUGCAGAAGCUUUUUUCCCAUAUGAUUCCAAUUCUAUAAUCCUGUAAAUUCAAGCCUAGUGCUAUUUUUUAUUAGUAUUCUCAUGCUGCCAGCACCUUUUAUUGAGAUGAAUUAUUGUUUGGGGGCCACUUUGCAUUCUUCAAAGAUGACAGUUGGAAAGGUUUUAUUAUCUAAUUUCAGUUCUAUAUAACUUUUUUUUCAUGUGAUUAUUAAACCAUGUGUUGAAUAUAAUAUUUCUUUGAUAAUCUGAAGAUUUAUUGGGAGCAAAGGUUAAUAUAUAUUCCAUAAGAGAAAUUUUAGAAUGAUUGGAAAAAAUAAGAGCCGUCCAUCCAGAGAAAUCUAAUGGUGGAAACAAAGGAAGUACCUUGAAGUAACUAAAGAGAAGUACCAAGAAGUACCAUAGUUACACACCAUCCAGAGCAAUAAGUCGAUGCGUGAGACUGAUUUUGAUUUCCAUGGACAUAUACCCAAUGUUGUCCUGCUGCAAUAUUGAUUCAACUGGCCAUGCAUGUCAAAAUACUUAUGCAAAUUAGAUACAUAUUCUACAUUGUUUAAAUAUAUUACUUCUUACAACAUAAUCUAAAUGUUUCAUAAGUGCAUGCACAUGAGAUGAAAUGGCAUGCAAUGUAGCCUAUCAACCAGUUCAAACCCUUGCUCAUUUAGUCGUGACAAUAUAUAAAUUAGCUUAAAGUCGAACUAGACCUGGCUUUGCUGAAAAGAAAACUUUGCAAAUUGAAGCGGUAUAUUAUGAUUUAUUUGAUAGAACUAGAUAAUUUUCCUAACAUAUGUAAUUAAUAUGCAGUAUGCCAGUAUAGGAUAUGGUUGCAAUAAAGCAGAAGUAUCAUUAUUCAAGGAAAAAUGAACGCUGGUGAAAUAUUAUUGCGAAUUCACUAAAAUAAUACAUUAAAUCUAUGGCUUGGAUUAUGUACCACUAAUUCCAUUGUAUAUUCUUUGUUUAUGAAAUUUAAUUCUGUGGCCCCAGAAUGUGCUACUAGAACUACAACAUUAUUACAUAUGUGUGUUCUGAAGAGCAUGAAGCUUUUGUCCUAAGUACAUCUUCUUGCUGAAUUGUUCUGAAUAGCUAAUAAUUAUUUCCAUCGUUUCAGGCAAAUUGUGGUGGGGAUCUGAAAAUGAAAUAUUGGAGUUUGAUUACUGAGUUGCAGGCACUUUAAAAGCGUGUUAUAUGUGAAUGUUAAGCAGAAGUUGAGAAGCUUUGUCUCUUCAUGCUUCCUUUAUGAAUUAAUAGCUAAGAAACAUGGUAGCCCACAAUCCAAAGGUAUUAUUUGCUUCACUACUACUAUUCUCUACUCAGAAAAUGUUGAUAAUUUUAUUCCAAAGAAUCUAACGAUUAAGCAAGGUUAAAAUAUUUUUUAAAGAAGUCCUAGUAACUAUUUUCAUCCACAACAAAACAAAACUGUUUUGUCCAUCAAUAUCUUCAUUGAGCCAUCGAUCAAAACAAGGACAGGCCACAUGCAUUCAUUUUGACUCUUUGAUUUUGUGGUUUUAUUCAACAUACAUAGUUCUAGCUACUUGCCAUUUGAAGUGCACUCUGCCAUGGUUCAUGGAAAUUAAUAAUAGCUAAUCUAAGUGGGUUCAAAAUUUUGGCCGAAAUUUUGCAAAUUUCGUGAAAUUUCGGUCUUUUCGAUGGUGACCGAAAUCACUGUUUGCCCGAAAUUUUGUUCUCUUCGUCGAAAGGUUCACUUUUUAGUCUAAAUUUCGGUCGAAAUUUUGCGAAAUUCGGUGUUUUCACCGGGGACAAAAAAAUCGAAAAACGAAAUCCUAAUCCCUUCUAACAUAUUUUUUACUUGUGUAUUUGUGUAUACAGCUUUUAGAAUAGUAGUGCUGUUGCAUCAGUAGAAUAUAUAGUACACUGCACUUCAGUUUCAGGCUUCUUCGGACCUCCAAAACUCCAGAGCCAGGGACCCAGCCAACUGCAUGUGAGGGCGUGAGGCCGAACUAGUCAACAACCAAGCCGAACGAUGCAGCGCCCCCUCGUAUGGACUGACUAAAUAAAUGUGUGCAAAGCGUAGUGCAGACUGCAGGCAACCGGGCAAUGCGCCGAGCGACGAAGGCGCUGGUGCACGGCUCUCACUCAACCCGGCCCUUGGCAGCGCAAGUAGGCACAUCGAAUCUCAUUCUCUAUUUGAUUUGUCUUCCUAAUGCAAGUAUUAAUUUUUUUAACACAUAAAUCUAAAAUAUAGUGUGCUAAUAUUUCAAGCAAAUUGUUGUUAAACCUGAAAGAAAAGCAUGACUCUUUCAACAAGAAGAAAUAGAUUGCAAUGCAGUUCGGUUCAUGAUGGAUACGACUAAAAAAUGAUUUGCAUGCUAUGAAGUCACGUAGUGUGCCUAAAAUUUUGGAUCAACUAACAUUUAUUUGGUUUUUUCCGGACAAACUAGUCUCAAAACUAUGUUUAAUGUAAUGAAAAUUUAAUGCAAAUGAUAAACGGUAGAACUUUUGGGAACGUAUACAUUUUUCAUUGCAAACGAUCUUGUUCGGCCCCCUAUUCAUAAUUCAUGGUUCUGCCACUGGAUGUGAUCACAUGGCCAUCUGUUUUUGCAAGUCGAUAGACAAAAGAAAAAGUAGUAGACAUAGCUUUUUUUCAUUGUAAAGACAUUUUGACCCUGUUGAGUCAAGUUCCUUCAAGUUCAAUACAAAUUCCAAUCUCUUAGAUAUAUAAUAACUGAUGCUUCCGUCUGUUUUAUUCAUGUUAAUUCAAAUUCAAUGUCUCCCUUCAAGUUCAAAGUGAACCCAAAUAUCUGUGAGGUCGGAAUUUGUUUAAGAUGAAGUUUUGCUCUAUUUGCACUCUUCUUUUUUUUUCUCUCUUCCUAGCUAUUACAAACUCCAAAUGCAUGCUCUUUUUUUUCCUCUCACCUGCUUGUUUCUAUCUUUUAUUCAGUACCUUUUAUUUUUUUGUGAAUCUGCAGCACUAUUCAUAUCAUGUGUUACAAACUUACCACUUUACAAAUUUAUUGUUAGCUAUCCCUUUGCUAACAGCCUGUGGAUUUUUUGUUAGCUAUUGACUGUGAUUCAAGAGAUAGCACAGUAUUUUUAUUUCCCAGUUUAUAGCAUAUGCAGCACUCUCUUUGCUCAGUUUAGUUGAAUGCGCAUAAUCACAUAAUCAGUGUGAUUUGAAGUUCUGAACUAUCUGCUAGCCUUCUCUUGAUCAGCCUUUUUUGUAUCGUAGAUCCUCAAAGGUUAUUGAAUGAAUAGUAUACUGCACAUACACAUAAAGAGUAGUAUUAUUGAGUUGGUUAAAUUUUUCCCAGAUAAUCAAUUUGUAAUAAAUAAAUUAAAGACCUUUUUCUCAUAGUCUCUAGAGAAUAUGAUGAUCACUGGAGCAAACAUCAGGCUUCAGGUUCAGCAGGAAAUAAUGCAACCAUUUUCGAUUGGACCCGAUUAUGGAAGAUGGAAGUUCCAGGUAAUUAACUGAAAAUUAUCCUAUGGAAACUUGCACACAAUAUCUCCAGUUUGUUGCGGGAUUAUGAAGAUGGUGGCCGUUCACUUUCGCAAUACAAUAAUGUAAAUAUGCAGUAGUAGUCUAGACAGCAUGCAAUGUACGUUGAUCGGUAGAACAGAUGUGCAUGGCUACGUCUCUGCAGAACAUAUAUUGUGUUCUCUACGAAUUUGGCAGAACAAAUGUUCAUGGCUAACGAGUGGAGAAGCACGGAUGGAAUUGCCUUUAGUCUUACCUGACAGAAAAUAUCAACAGAAUGAAGUCUUUCCUUUUGGAUCAACGCAUGUAUAGCCUGUAGAUGAACUUAGAUCUGCUAGACUCUUUUCACUGAACGACUAUCAUUACAGAGGAGUACUAGUUCUGAAUAAAACAUAGAGCAGAAAACAUAUAUAGAACACACUUUUGUUCUAACGACUCGAUGACGACGACUCAACACUGAACUGGACUCGACCCUAACCUUAGCACUGCGAUUACGGAUACGAAAUCAAACGAAGCAAACACUACAAGAUAGAUUGUAAAUUUGUAAUGCAAGCGCCUGAACAGGUAGGCGUGCAUUUCUGCCCUCCCAUUACAUGGGCUUGAAGCUCUCGAGACCGUGCUCCCUGAGGAGACGGUCCACGUCCUCAGCUGUGGCUUGGCGACCGCUGCCGUCGUCCACGAUGGCGUCUGCCAUCUCAAGCAGGAAGCUUCCAUUCCGGGGCUCGGCGUCCAGGUUCAGGAGCUCGUCAGCGCCCAUACCAGCAGCGGUGGCCUGAGACUCCGGCUCCACCGCCGGCAGCAGAAGCGACGCGUCAGCUACCAUUGGUGGCUCCUGCGGCGGCGACGCCGGCACCACCACCAGCUCAGAUAGCAGCGGUGCCGGCUCCGGCGCCGGCAGCAGAAGCGGCGCGUCAGCUACCGUUGGCGGCGCCUGAGGCGGCGGCGGCGGCGCCUCCACCAGCUCAGAUUGCAGCGGUGCAGGCUCUGGCUCCGGCGCCAGCGUCAGAAGCAGCGCAUCAGCUAUCAUUUGUGGAUCCUGCGGCUCCGGCGCCGGCGCCACCACCACCUCAGAUUGCAGCGGUGCUGGCUCUGGCUCCGGCGCCAGCAGCGGAAGCAGCGAUUCCUCAGCUACCAUUGGUGGCUCCUGAGGAGCCGGCGCCGGCGCCUCCACCAGCUCAGAUUGCGCUGGUGCCAGCUCGGGCUCCAGCUCCAGCUCCAGCUCCAGCAGAAGCAGCGCAUCAGCUAUCAUUUGUGGAUCCUCCAGCUCCGGCACCGGGGACACCACCAGCUCAGAUUGCAGCGGUGCUGGCUCCAGCUCCGGCGCCGGCAGCAGAAGAGGCGCGUCUGCUACAAAUGGUGCCAUCGCAAGAGGUGGCACCAUCGGUGGCUCCUCCUCCUCCUCCAGCGGCACCACCAGCGCAGAUUGCGGUGGUGUCGGCGGCAUGAGCGGCGCGUUCGCCACCACUGGCGCCGCCAUAGCAACUGGCGGCACCAUUGGCGGCUCCCGCAACGCCAUCAACGCCGCAGCUUCCUCCAGCGGCGGCGAGAACGCCGCCUCUUGGGCAUCCGCCGACCUGAGGAAGUUGACGCGGUCGGCAGUGACGCUCCUGAACGCGUUCAGCACCGACAUGACGGCGGCGGCGAGCUCGCGGGGCAGGUCGUCGAAGUCGCGGCGGCGGCCGAGGCUGACGUCGUUGAGGACCAGGUUGACCUCGAGCCUGCGGGCGGUGGCCUUGCAGCUGUCCACCCUCCUCCUCAUCUUCUUCGCGCGCUGGCGCGCGAAGAUCUCGUUGUCCAGCUUGUGCGCCUCCUUGAGGGAGCCAGGGAGGUCUCGGUACCUUUGCAGGAUCUCCGUGACCUCCGGCACCCCCGGCCAGACCUUGGGCUCGGCCUCGCCGCGGCCGUACACCACCACGGCCGCUUGGACUUGGCAGAGGAUGGAGAGGUCGCGCGCCUUGUCGAACAGAGUGGUGUGGCGCUUGCGGAACGCCGCCUGCCGCACGGCCUUCUCCGCGAUCCAUUGGAUCUUGAUUUUCCCACCACGGCGAGGCAUAGCGCAAGAAACCCUAGGAAUCGCCCGGGGACGAUGCAAGAGGGGAAAUCUGUUCUGUGUUCUAGGUUGGUGUGAGAGCGACGGGGGGGGGGGGGGGGGGGGGGGGGGGGCGGCGCUAACCUGCUUGACGCCAUCGGAAAGGAGUGAUGUCACGAAUUGAUUAGCCGAAUCAAAAUGAUUUUGUUUUACUGGCUGGAUGCAACGAGAUCCCACUGUAUACAUCUUACACAUGGGGCACGCGGUAUAAACGACAGGAUGUCUAGGUUAAAAGAAUGUGCCUAGGAAUAUACUUUGAAAGAUGUAAUUAGGCUGUAAGCCUUUAAAAUUCUCUUCUUAGCUUGCAGGUACCACCAGGCAGCACAGACAAACUUAUUAUGACAUACUAUAUCAUUUUUUUUUCAAGUAGUUCAUAGAAAAAACCUACAAAAAAAUUAAACAUCCAUGGUAACGGACAACUAGCUGAAAUCGUGAGUUUAUAGUUUAGCGCAGUAUGAAUGAAUGAACUAUAACUUACGGCUCCAAAAAAAGGUUUGAUUGAAUUAUAAAUACUUUAAAAUCCUUCUUAUAUGCACUAAUUUAUUUGAAACCGUCAAUUUAUAGUUUAGCAUACUAUGAACGAGCUAAUUUUUUUGUUAUAAACAUUAUACAUUUGAGAACGGCGAUGUAGUAUCUUUUAUGUAGAAAGUAUGUGCAUCCAAUUUGUAGAACAUAGAGUAGUACCAUUGGGUGUGGCUAAAUUGUGGUUCAUAAUCGUAAUGUCUAAAGAAUUAUGCUUGGUUUUAAUAAGAAAAUAUUGCGGUGAAUUUUUCAAGCACCAUUGAUGAAUUUCUGAAAUUUGCAUGAGAUUAAAAAGAACUUUUCUACUCUCCAGAGGACCAACAACUUCUUAUUUAGAAGAUUUUUAUGCAACAACCCCGAGUUCUAGUUUUAUGAUAGCUUGAUAGGUUGUACACUUGUACUAGCGGGGCCAAGUAGAAGGUGAUUAGACUGUAGUUGUGGUAAUAGACAUAUGAACAAUCACACUGUCAGCGCCUGACAAGGGAACGGGGUCCUCCGAGGAGGCACUUACAAGCGGAGCCUGCUUGUUUAAAAGGGCUCCCUCUUCGAGAAGCCCAAAAUAAGGAGAUGGGCUGGGGAAUCUGAGGUCCUCGGAAGACAAGGUAAAUAUCGCGCCUGCCAGGUGGGACCCACAGGGCCCCACGUUGCGCCCGGGAGGGUUCGCUUCGAGGCGAAGCAAGUGAAGGCGUACUCAAGAGCGAGAGGGCACGACAGUCAAGGCAGGCUGUCAACCGCUCGCCCCGUCCUCGUAAAAACACCGUCAUUACGGUCAAUGGAACACGCCUAGGCCUCCCGACGGCCUCACACAUCCCGUCCAACAGGCGGCGGGCGCCGCUCUCGUGCUGAGAACGCUCGCCUGGCUCCCGGCUGCCCGCUACUCAGAGGGGGGCGCCACGACCCCGAGAAACAGCGACGACCUCGCGGGAAGAGACUCGGGAGCCAGAUUCAACACCCCUCUCCCCGGGAAGUGGGCCCAGGUCAAAAAGCAUGAAGGUUACCAUGAUAAGAUGGUAAAAAAAAACAAGAUUGACAUACGAAGGACUUGGACGGGGUUCUCCGGCGCCGUGCGUACCAAGGCAAGGAAGCGUCAGGGCAAGUGGAUGGCACGUCAGAGGAGCUGUAGCAGGGAGGACGGCCAUUGGGCCGCCACGUUCAUACAUACAAUGUAAAGGGAUGGAUUGGGGUGCAAGGCUCGCCCAACCAGUCCCCACAUGGGCCUAGCCUAUAAAAGGCCGGUUCUUGUAUAAACAAGACAGACAUCUCUAAGCAACACAACACACAGGGCGUAAGGUGUUACACUUCUGAGCGACAUGAACCUGUCUAAAAACUCUCUUAGCAAAAUCACACGCUAACUCCCAUAGACGCUUCUCGAAUCUCUACGCACGAGCUAACCCCCAAGCCGGAUCUCUAAAAGAGGGUCUCGUCGGAUCCCCGCUCUCGGUGCUUGACAACCGUCGCACACAUAUGGACAACAAAAAAUAUUUUCGACGAUUAUACUCCAUUAUCAAAAUGGACUGAAUAUAUACGUAAAUUUUUUAUGUUAAUAGCAAGCCAUGACCCAUAGAAAUGUAGUGGUCCAUCAGCAUAUAGGCCAUGUAGUUUUUGGUGUAUCUUGUAUUCAGCCUACAGAUCAGACCGUGGUUUCACUAAGAUGAGGAAAAUAAACGGCCAUAUAGGCCCAGAGAAGGGGGUUGGAACUUGGAACCGUGGGCCUUGUAACACUGCCCCCCAGGCCUUUCCACUGGGCCUCGGGGAUCGAUCGUGUGUGCUCUCCUCCUGAUUCGUAACGUACGUCUCGCUGGCUGCCUGCGCCCUCUGCAGAUCUCUCUCUAUUACCGUCGCUCAAGCCCAGCAAGGCGGCCACCAUGUUCUCUCUCUGUCCAUCUUCACUCACCAAGCUUCUUAUCUUAUUCACCUACGACUGCAAAACUUACCAGCCCUGCUAAGUGCCGUCAGUACUCAUUACCACCAAGUCAUCAGCAGAGCUAACACAGACCAAAAUGGUCAACAACAAAAAAAUCAAUAGAAGCUAGCAGCCCACGAGCCCUUGUCGAUGUGUGCAAGUAUGCAGCACAUGCUCUCUGUUGGGCGCCAGCGCCAUUGGCCUAGCCCAAAUUCCAAGGAUACAACACUUGCUGUCACAUCAACAGAUCGAUCCUCUAAAAUUUUUUUCUGCUCCAGCGCUUCUCAUGAUCGAAUAAUGUGGAUUAAUUAAGAUCAAGUCAACUGUGUGUAUUAUGAGAUGAGCCACGCUUUGCCAGCGCCGCCGGUCGCCGUCGCCUCAAUCCGGCCGCCCCGCGCGGCCGGCUGGGGAUGCCUCCACGCACGUGCACGCCAUGUGUUCGCUCUCGACUAGAUCGUGCUAGCUAUCCUCUCUAUCUAUAAAACACGCUCGCUGCACUGAGGACACCGGCGGCCGCGUGCUCGAUCGUGACCACCAAUUGCCAACUAUGGCGCGCCUGUUCCUCCCUGCCAUCUUGCUGGCCCUCGUGCUGGUCGUCUCCAACGCCGGUGCCGCGGAGGCGGCGUGGUGGUCGGGGUGGAGGUGGGACUGCCUGUUCCCCAACAACGGCCGCGGCGGCUACGGCGACCACGGCCACGACGGCGACCUCCCGAGCCACAGCCACAGCCACGUGGCGUCGAUCGUAACGGAGGACCUGUACCGCUCCUUCUUCCUGCACAAGGACGACGCCGCCUGCCCCGCGCGCGGCUUCUACAACUACACCUCCUUCCUCCGCGCCGCCGACGCGUUCCCGGCGUUCGGCGGCGACGGCGGCAACGCCACCCGGAGGCGCGAGGUGGCGGCGUUCCUGGCGCAGAUCUCCCACGAGACGACCGGCGGGUGGGCGACGGCGCCUGACGGGCCCUUCGCGUGGGGCCUCUGCUUCAAGGAGGAGAUCAACCCGCAGAGCAACUACUGCGACGCCAACAACACCCAGUGGCCGUGCGUCCCCGGCAAGUCCUACCAUGGCCGCGGACCCAUCCAGCUCUCAUGGUGAUAACUUGAUCCAGCUCCAUCUCCUCGUCCUCCUCCAUUUCUGCUGGCAAGGUCGCCUUAAUUGCAUCACUUGGUGGCUGCUGUGAUGUCGAUCAGGAACUACAACUACGGGCCGGCGGGCAAGGCGGUGGGCUUCGACGGGCUGCGGGAGCCGGAGGUGGUGGCGGGCGACCCGGAGGUGGCGUUCAAGACGGCGCUGUGGUUCUGGAUGACGCCGCGGGCGCCCAAGCCGUCGUGCCACGACGUGAUGGUGGGGCGCUACCGGCCCAGCGGCGACGACCUGGCGAAGAACCGGACGGCGGGGUUCGGGCUGACGACCAACAUCAUCAACGGCGGGAUCGAGUGCGGACCGAGCGGGAAGCCCGCGCCGGUGGAGGACCGGAUCGGCUUCUUCAAGCGGUACUGCGGCAUGCUCGGCGUCGACGUCGGGCCCAACUUGGACUGCGCCAACCAGCAGCCCUAUUCCAGUCCUAGCUAGCCGCCUUUGAGGCUUUGACCCUUUGUUUUGUGCUCGCAUCGCAUGCAUGCCUCAUUCUGUGUUUGUACUGUACUCGCUGAGUUUCUCUUUGCCAACAAUAAAGUUGGCGUUUCUUACAAGUUACAAACAAGAUGGGCAACGUCGUUGAAUCCUUAACUUCUCUAGUUGCAAGAAUGUACUUACUACUAUGAGAACUAAUUAAGGAGGCACUUCUCUAGCUCGUUGAAUCAUCUGCUGCAAGUGUAUGGAAGCAGCUGGAACCGUCGUAGACACGUGAAACGUGAUGACGCACGAAUGAUUGGUUGGGUCGUCGUUGGGACCAUAGGCAAGGCAGCUGUGCGUCCAAACUCCAAACAGGCCCCACGUACUGGCGUGCUCUUGCAGGGGAAGAAGAGAGGUAGCCCCAGGUCAGGUGGGUGCAUCAUCUGCUGGACUGGACGGACAGGAGCUAGCGAUGAAUUGAUGCUUGCUUGGGGGGCACCGGAACCCCCGGUUGCUGAGUUCUUGGUUUAACUCUCUGAACGAAACAAGCAGAGCUUUGCACACACCGCGUUUCAGCAGGUCGCGUUUCGUCUGAACUGGAGAUGCAUCUCUUCCCUGAUGUCACACGCACGCACUACUCGCUAGCAGUGGGCCGGGAGUGCUCGUUUAGUUUGUCGCUGCUUCGCAACCUAGUAUGUAACAUGUGUCGUCUGAGGGGUGGUGAUCGAACGAAGCAUCCGUCAUCAGCAGAACCAACACCGAGAUACGCAUACAAAAUUAAAGGUCGCAGCAGAUGGCAACUUUGAUUCGCUGAGAAUUUGGCAAGCAGCGCAAUCAGCACACGAUUCUCAACAACUUUGAUUAAUUAAUUGCAACGACGAUCCAUCAGCCGGGAAGAAACUUAACAAGUCGAUCGAUCAACAAUCAACGUGAUGAGAUGAUGAACAGCGAAUAAUCAAGUACUGGAAUCAACGACGACGACGACGACCAAGAGCGGGGGAACGAAAUUAAACUAAACAAGAGUACUAGUAGCUAGCUAGACGGCAUGAACACACCAGGAGCUAGCUGGAGCGCUAAUCGACCAGAUCGAUCGAUAGCACUCCUCCCGGCCUCUCUACUACUUGGUGAUGGCGUAGAUGGCGUAGAUGAUGCCGGGGAGGUAGCCGAGGAAGGUGAGGAGGAGGCAGAUCCAGAACUCGUGCCCGCACCCGUGCUUGAGGAACACCCCCAGCGGCGGCAGGAUGAUGGCGAUCAGGAUGUCGACGCAGUUCGCCGUCCCCUCCGACAUCUUUGCUGCUGCUGUUGCUUCUCUUCCUUUCCUUUGUUGCUGCUGCUGGAUCGGAGGACCUUCUCCCUCUCUCCUUCUCCUGCUUGAUGCUGUUGGCUCUCAGUGCCGUGCUCUGGUAGUCUGUUUGUUUGCUGUGCUUGGAUUCCUCCUUUCCUUUGGUCCGGGUGAUUUUAUAGACCGGG